CCUUUGUUCUGAAAUUUAUGCCCAAUGGAAGUCUUGAGAAUUGGUUGUACAAAGAAGAUCGCCACUUGAACCUUCAUCAAAGAGUUACUGUAAUGCUUGAUACAGCUAUGGCAGUUGAAUAUCUACAUCAUGGUCAUGUAACUCCAAUAGUUCAUUGCGACUUAAAGCCAGCCAACGUUCUUUUGGAUGAAGAUAUGGUGGCUCAUGUUGGUGAUUUUGGUAUCUCUAAAAUUUUAGCCAUAAGCAAGUCCAUGGCUUAUACAGAGACAUUGGGUACUCUUGGAUACAUUGCACCAGGUAUAAAAAAUCUACUCACUUUGAUUUUCUUUUAUCAUAAUAAAGCCUCUCCAAAUUCUACAACUAUAAAAACAAGCUUUUAUUUAUGCAGAAUUAUUGUUGUAUUUCAAUUGAAUUAACUUUUUUCAAUCCUUUUUAAGAAUAUGGCUCGGAUGGAAUAGUGUCUGCUAGUGGCGAUGUUUAUAGUUACGGCAUCAUGUUGAUGGAGGUUUUGACGAAAAGAAGGCCAACAGAUGAAGAGAUAUGCAAUGAAAAUCUUGACUUGAGGAAAUGGAUCACACAAUCAUUUUCAGGGAGUAUGAUGGACGUUGUGGAUGCCAAUCUUUUCUCCGAGGAAGAACAGAUCACUUCAGAAAGUGAAAUCUGCAUAGCGUCCAUGAUAGAAUUGGGUUUAGACUGCACAAAGGAAAUGCCAGAAUCAAGAAUAACCAUGAAAGAUGUAGUCACGAGGCUUAACAAAAUCAACAACACAUUUCUGGAAACAUAGAAGUCAGCAUCUCUUCCUGUUCUGCAAGUUCACAUGUUGCUUUUUGUUUGCCUGGUUUCUUUAGUCGAUUGUAAUUCAGAGUGUUGCAUUUCCCUUAUUUUUGAUUUCAGAUUUGAGUAUAGUUUUUAAUAUGGUUGAAUAAAAUUAAGAAAUAUUACGGAGUGUUUAGCUGCACUAUUUUACUUUCUGUUUCUGUUUGCGACCUCUACUUCAUAUUUUUGAUUCAUUAGUUUCUUCAGAUUGAUAUAUUCAAGUAUUCAAUAAAUGGAAUUCUUAGUUGGACUAGUUGAGUUUUGGAGGUGAAUGAAAGACCAGAUCCUAAUAAUUCAAUUGUUUUUACACCGUCGUACGUGCAUAUAAUUUAAACUCAAACUUAAAUUUGAUCUCCCUGUUUUACAAUAUCUGUCAGAAGUUUCUUUAUAUAUUGACGAUUUGCUUGUUACGGACAAUGACGAGCAAGAAUUGCUUUGGAUGGAGUCUUUUUUGGGAUGCAUGGAAGCAUAUCAAUCAGCAAAAGUAUGUCCCGGAGAUGCUGAAACAAUUCAGAAUGCAAGUUGCAAACAAUUCCUACACCAUUUGUUUUGAAUACCAAAUUUUCUAAGGAAGAUUUUGAAAAAAUCAGGGCAUUUCCACAUUGUAGUUUCACUGGACGAAUGCAGAGUGCGCUCUGCUUCUGUCAAGUGAAUAAAAUCUUCGCUUUUGUAUAAAGAGUAGUUCCUCUGUUUUCUCUUUCAUUUCCUAUGACGACUCUCCAAAUCCCAUCAGGCGCUAACCUAAUAUUUUCACAAAACCACCAUAACUUGACCAGCAACCUUUGAUGUCAUAUCAAAGGCAGAGUUGACUCAACAAGAUUGAAGGCCUAAAACAAAACUUUAAGAGGGGGCCCUAAUUUUUUUUCUUCAUCAUAUAUACUCUUAUUUAAAAUCUAUUUUUCUAACUUUUUAUAGAUGUGAAGUCAUUAGUUACUGUUUUAUAAUCGAUUUUUAUUAGUAAUUCCUUUUCAAUUGAUAAUAUAGCUAAUUCAUUCAAUCUCUUUGAUCUUAAAUAAGAUUUAAUCAUUUUUAGUUGAUAAAGUAAUAAAGAAAAAUACUUACAUGUUUGUUGUGUGUACGUGAGCGUCACCGCAAACACACAGCAUUAUAAGAGCAACAAGUUUUCUAGAAAAAAAAAGUAUAAAUUUUUUCACAAAGCAAAAAAAUGAUUGGUACAAAAUGAUGAGCUGAUUUAAUUUUGAUACCUUGUUAUUUGCUCAUAAAAAGUGCAGAAAGAACUUCAAAAGGCUUUGUAAAUAUAUUAUUAAUAUGGAAGUUGAAAGGAACAAAUAUAAAGACUGAAAUUUGAAAAGGUUUUUGUUAUAAAUUGCUUAUUUAUGUUUCCCUUCUCAUUUGCCAUGGUAAUGCAUUGAACCUUGGUUCUAGAGUCUUUAAUGGAAUUAAUAGUGAAUUAUUGUUUUCAAUUGCUUAUUUAAAUUUUUCUUGAAAUUACCAUGAUAAUACAAUUUUUUUUUUUUUAAAGGUAAUUAAAAUAUUAUUAUUUAAUAUUUAAUUAGAUAUUUUAUUAUAUUUUAAUUUACUAUAGGGGAAAAAUUGUAAUCCAGCUUUUAAGAUAGGAGUUUCUCACUUUUAAUAUACUAGUUUCUGGGUAUGCGCUUUGCGCGUGUAACCCGUAUUAAUAAGUAUAUUAUUUGUUAAAAAGUUAAAUUUUAUUAUAUAAUGUGAUUUGACUUCUUUUUUAAAAAUUGUGGCUAAAUGAGGUUUCUACUGUCUCACUAUGGCAUCACUAUCUAGUGGGAUGGUUGAAAUUUCUCCAACCCUUUACCAGAUGUUUCGAAUUUAAACCCUUAUGAAUGAAGAACCCUCUCAAUGGGGAGCAUUUUACCCUUAUUGGGCAUAUCUGGUGCCACUAAUCUAUUGGUCGAGUGGGCUUCAAAUGCAGGAUUCUUAAAAUAGUCAGAAGGAAUUAUGACAUAGAGGAUUCAAAAUUUGUAUGUAAAUCUUUAGUUAGUAGUUAGCAAAUUUCAAUUUAGAGGAUACAAAUCAAGAUAUUCUUCAAAAGAUGACAGAAUAAAAGCCGAUUCUUCACUUAGUUAUUUUCCACCAUCAUCAAUGGAAAAAUUGAAUAAUGGAGGGGAAAUGAUGGCACUGAUAGCUUCUGGAGAAGCUCAAGACCGUUACCAGAAUGCAAUCAUCUCAGUGAAACCCAAAGAUGAUGUUAAUCGAACCUAUCAUUAAUCUAAUUCUAUAUGUUUCAUCUUUAAAUAAUAAAAAGAAAGAGUAACCAUUCUAUCAAAUUCAUUCUUAAAGGUGAUAUUAUAAAUACAAAGAACAAAAAAGAAACACAUGAGCAAGACAAUUAAUUAUUCUUUUUUGAUCUUGUCUUGAUAAUGAAAAUUUAAACAAAAUCUAACGUAACGAUCAAUCUGUUUUUGAACACAAAAAAUCCUAAACUAAAAACAAGUUAUAAACAAAGUAACAAUUCAACUAUAUAAAUAGAGAUAAAAAUGGUGUUUCAGUAAUUGAAUUCUUAUCUAUCCUCAUGACUGCAUAAGGGAGAUCACACAACUUUUCCCACAAAUUACGACAUUAUUUCACCGCUUUAGAGCUCCUACACAUAAGAAUUGUAGGAGUAGCACAUAAAAAUCUUUUCUGGAAAAGUUAAAUUUAUAGGACAAAAAUUGUUGAAUAUGAAAAGUCACAUAGAAAUUUGAAAGGUCAAAUAAUAUUAAUAUAAAUAUAAAAAGGAUAAUUCAUGAACAAUAACUUUGUAAGAUACAUGUAUCUAUUUAAUUUCUUGUUUUCAAGGAGUAAUUGCUUAUUUGUUUUCUUUUUCUAUUUAGUUUUGUCAGGUUUAUAACAUUUUUAGGUAUUAAAUAAAUAUGUUUAUCAUGAACUAUCACUAUGAAAUAAAUUUAUUGUAUCAUAUUAGUGAUAUGAUACUAUUUUUAUUAUAUUUUAACAUGAUGUAGAGGCAAAAUGGUAGUUCAACAUUGAAGUUUGGAGCUUUCCACUUUUAAUAUAAUAUAUAUAUAUAUAUAUAUAUAUAUAUGCAUGGGGUCUGGUGGAUCCUUAUACUUGUAUCAGUUUGUAUUAUGAACCCUUUUACUUAACCCUUUGUCAUCUGGACCCUUAAACUCAAUAAAACACAAUUUAACAAACCCCUCUAACCAUUGACUAGGCUUAUGUGUCAUUAGAUGUCUGAGUUGGCAAAAGUGUGUAACUACACACGCCUAUUAAGGCGAGUGAGGAGCAUUUCUACUUAAAAAAUAUUAAAAAUUAUAAAAGAAAUAUUUUUUUCAAAACAACUAAUUAAAAAUAUUGUCUUUUUCACCUGUUACUCCUCCUUUUCAGCCAUAUCCUUCCCUGCCCAACCCCUUUUUCUUUCUUUUCACAAUCUAUUUUCAUCUAUUUAGAUGAUCUUGGCACCUUCUUGAGUCCACCAAUUUACCGACGGAGAAAGAGAGCGGCGCUGGUGGUGCUCGCCGGACACCACUGAUACGCAGUGGAGGGGGAGAGAGGUGCGGCUAGUCAACGGAGAGGAGAACGAGGUGGGUGAGGGUGCGAAAAUGUACUGGCUCUAUGUUUUUAAAAAAACAUUUCCUUCCUACUGAUUUGAGAUAAUUACUCAAAACUUAGCUCAAAGGCUAUCUUGGAAAUCUCAGUUUCCUCUCUUGCUUCAUUUAGAAAGCGAUAACUCUUUUCUGGAAAACUAGCCCGAAGGCUCUUUGGAAAUCUCAGUUUCCAAUCUUAUUUAAAUGUAAAAACAUUUCUUUAAAACUUCUUUGGGAAUACAUAGACUCCCUAAUAACUUUUGAAAAAUGAAUUCAACUUUAUAUUCUAGACUUAACUUGAAACUCUUUACUCUUUACUUGACUUAAAACUUGAGCCUUAAAAUGAAGUUAAAACAUUCAAUAAAGACUAUUGAACACUUUAAAGACUUGCUUGGACUUACUUCUUAACUUCUAAGAUUGACUCUAACUUCACUUGACUUUGAGCCAAACUUUCCUCGAAUUGGAUUAUGAAUUCAAGGGUAAUAAUCUCAUGUUCAUGGAUGAGUUCGGGAGGUUUAAAUGUACCUUAGAGUGUUGGAAACAACUAUAAAACAUAGGUACAAUACCUAGGAACAUGUAUGAAAAAGUGGGGAAAGAAUGGGAAAACUUGGCGCUCUUGGCGCUCUGAGAGGCACGGAGCGCCAGACCAAAAUCUUCAGAGGGGGCCUGCUGGCGCACUGAUAGGCGCGCUUCCCCAAGGGAGAAAGUUCAGAGCCCCUCUUGGGGCGCGCUGGCAGGCACGACGCCCCAGCCCUUUUCCCCGAAAACUCGACUUUUUUCCUUCCUUUUUCCAUCUCUAAACCUUCUAAACCUCAAAGGUUCCAGCUCCAAACACUUAGAAUCAUUAAAACCCUCAACAAACCAAAGAUUCAACUCAAAACACCACCGGAAACAUACACCAACCCAACAAGAACUUCAUCACAACACAACUACAACUUCAACAAACAUCACCACAAGAUUUCAACAACCACAACUAAAUCUUUUCUCGGAAUUUAAAAUGAGUUUGGCGUGUGGGGGAAAGAACCAACCCAACACUAUAAUCUCACAUACCUAGAAGGGAUCACCCCCGACGAUAUCCACGACGAAAACCUUGCUUGAUCUUCACUUUCUCCUCUUCUUCUCCUCUUCACUCUCAAACCCUUACUCUCACUCUUUUAAAAUGAGAAAACUGAUCAAAAAUCAGUCUAACACACUAAUAUAUAUCCAAAAGAAAAGGCUAGGGAAAAGACCAAAAUACCCUUACAAAUUUCCGGACGGACUUCCCUGCCAACUGCCCAACUUCCAAAGGGCAUAACUUACUCAUACGAACUCGGAAUCAAGCAAACUCGGCGGCGUUGGAAAGACCAUUCCACGAACUUUGCAAAAAUAACUGGAACUACACCUAAAUCAUCCUGAGCUAGGAUUUAUAACUGCUCAAAGUUGGCCAAAAACUCACUUUUUCCCAUACUUGGACAAAAAAAUUUCCAGAUUUUUAAAAUUCUUUCCAAAAAUGAAAAUAUCAAAUUUUAAGCCUUUUCGUAGUUAUUUCAAAUUGCCGGAUCUUACACCUUUCCCUAAGCCUACAUUACAAGCCAAUGACAAGUCCUAUUUGAUAUCAUUUUUUGUGUUCUCACAUUAGUGGAUUCUUACAUAAAGGCCAAGCAUAUGGUAUCUCAAUCUCAUGCAUUGAACAUCUUUCUGAGUGUGAGUGACUUUCAAAAAUGUCUUACGAUCUAAAUUAUUCUAUUGUGUGAAGUAGGACUUUCAUUUGUUGCAAGGGCACUUGAAACAUGACGUUAUGAAUAGUUCUAGUCCCUUUAUUUAUGCAUAAUGAACUGAUCAAAUACUUAAAUAUGUUUGAGAUACCAUUUGAAACUAUAUGGAAUACUCAGAGUUGACCUCAUAUUUGUUUGAAAGUAGUUGAAUGUGGUUCAUAUGCAUAAUACUAAUUGUUGGUACCAACUAAAGUCAAGACAUUAUCGAACAUGAACCGAUUCCUUUCCCAAAAGUUUCUUUUAAAAAAAAAAAAGAAUAACAAUUUUGAUUAUAUGAACUACGUUUGACCUGAUUCUUGCUAUACAAGAUAUGUAGACAAUCUUACAAUAGGGCUCGGUCUCACAAAAUAAAAUUUUAUAUCCUUGAAGGAAUGAAAUUGGAUCAUUUUAAAUUUUAAAAAAAAAUGAUAAAUUAAAAUGUGUUUCAAAGUUCCUCAAUUUAAAAACUGAGGAUAUUUUUAUUUGUUAAAAAAAUCACUCUCAUUACUAAGAAACAAGCAUCGUAUUUGCAUUUUGACCUUAGGGAAUAAACACCCUAGAUGCAUCAUGUUUUAUUUAUAGAGAAUAAACACUCUAGUUGCAUUUUGACCUUAGAAACAAACACUCUAUCAUUUCUCAUUUCUAGGGAACAAACACCCUAGUUGCAUUUUGACCUUAGGGAGCAAACACCCUAGGUAUACAAUCUUUCAUUUCUAGGGAACAAACACCCUAAUUGCAUCAAUGUCUUUCACUUUUCUUUGGUACAAAUAUUUUUCAUUUAUGCUAACAGCUUAAUAAUAUUUUUCUGGUGCAAACUGGGCAAAAAAAUAUUGUGGUGAUUCUAUUUGAUGAUUCUGUUAAGCGAGAUCUUUCUAAGUAAUAGAUUUAGUAUAGCAGGACCCUCUUGGACGAUGGAAAUUAGUAUAGCAGGACCCUCCCGAACAAUGAGAUUUAGUGUAGCAGGACCCUCCUGGACAAUGGGAAGCAGGACCUUCCUGGACAAUGUAAAUUAGUAUAGCAGGACCCUCUUGAACAAUGGGAAUUAGUAUAGCAGGACCCUCCUGGAAAAUGUAAUUUAGUAUAGCAGGACCCUCAUGGACAAUGGGAAUUAGUAUUGCAGGACCCUCCUGGACAAUGGGAUUUAGUGUAACAGGACCAUCCUGGACAAUGUGAUUUAGUAUAGCAGGACCCUCAUAGACAAUGGGAAUUAGUAUAGCAGGACCCUCUUGGACAAUGGGAAGCAGGACCCUCCUGGGUAAUGAGAUUUAGCAUAGCAGGACCCUCCUGGACAAUGAGAAUUAGUAUAGCAGGAUCCUCUUGGACAAUGGGAAGCAGGACCCUCCUAGUUAAUGGGAUUUAGUAUAGCAAGACCCUCCUGGACAAUGGGAAUUAGUAUAGCAGGAUCCUCCUGGACAAUGGGAAGCAGGACCCUCCUGGAUAAUGAGAUUUAGUAUAGCAAGACCCUCCUGGACAAUGGGAAUUAGUAUAGCAGGACCCUCCUGGACAAUGGGAUUUAGUGAAACAGGACUCUCCUGGACAAUGGGAUAGCAGGACCCUUCUGAACAUUGGAAAUUAGUAUAACAGGACCCUCCUGGAGAAUAGGAAUUAGUAUAGCAGGACCCUCCUGGACAAUGGGAUUAGUAGGACCCUCUUACAUAAUAGGAUUUAGUUUAACAGAACCCUUCUGGACAAUGGGAUUAACAGGACCCUCCUACAUAAUGGGAUUUAGAUUAGCAUGGCCCUCCUACAUAAUUGGAUUAGCAGGACCCUCCUACAUAAUGAGAUGUAGUUUAGCAGGACCCUCCUACAUAAUGGGAUUUAGUUUAGAAGGACCCUCCUACAUAAUGGGAUUAGCAGGACCCUCCGACAUAAUGAGAUUUAGUUUAGCAGGACCCUCCUUACAUAAUGAGAUUUAGAUUAGCAGGACCCUCCUACAUAAUGAGAUUUAGAUUAGCAGGACCCUCCUACAUAAUGAGAUUUAGAUUAGCAGGACCCUCCUACACAAUGGGAUUAGUUUAGCAGGACCCUCCUACAUAAUGGGAUUAGCAAGGUCCUCCUACAUAAUGAGAUUUAGUUUAGCAAGACCCUCCUACAUAAUAGGAUUAGCAGGGCCCUCCUACAUAAUGGGAUUUAGAUUAGCAUGGCCCUCCUACAUAAUUGGAUUAGCAGGACCCUCCUACAUAAUGGGAUUAGCAGGACCCUCAUACAUAAUGAAAUUUAGUUUAGCAGGAUCCUCCUACAUAAUGGGAUUAGCAGGACCCUCAUACAUAAUGAAAUUUAGUUUAGCAGGAUCCUCCUACAUAAUGGGAUUAGCAGGACCCUCAUACAUAAUGAAAUUUAGUUUAGCAGGAUCCUCCUACAUAAUGGGAUUAGCAGGACCCUCAUACAUAAUGAAAUUUAGUUUAGCAGGAUCCUCCUACAUAAUGGGAUUAGCAGGACCCUCAUACAUAAUGAAAUUUAGUUUAGCAGGAUCCUCCUACAUAAUGGGAUUAGCAGGACCCUCAUACAUAAUGAAAUUUAGUUUAGCAGGAUCCUCCUACAUAAUGGGAUUAGCAGGACCCUCAUACAUAAUGAAAUUUAGUUUAGCAGGAUCCUCCUACAUAAUGGGAUUAGCAGGACCCUCAUACAUAAUGAAAUUUAGUUUAGCAGGAUCCUCCUACAUAAUGGGAUUAGCAGGACCCUCAUACAUAAUGAAAUUUAGUUUAGCAGGAUCCUCCUACAUAAUGGGAUUAGCAGGACUCUCCUAUAUAAUGGGAUUAAGUUAUUUUCUCCUAGGAUAAACACUUCCUAUUCUGAGACGUUAAUUGUUAUUUUCUUCUAGGAUAAACACUUUCUAGUCUGAGUUUAUUAUUAUUUUUUUUUUAAAUCCACAUUUGCUAAUAACUCACAAAAAUUUUCCAGUGAAAACUGGGGCAAAAAAAAUUGUUUAUUUCUUUAGUUUGUGAUGGUUUUUAGGUUUUUUCAAGCGAAACAUAGAUUUGAAAUUCAAGAACAAAGUUUCAACUGUUUUCAGAAUGAUCAAUCCCCAUGAUAGCUAGAAUCAACUUCUUCAAUGCACAUAGCAGCCUGACCUCCUGACACACGCUUCUAUUCAACUUCUGAUCAAGAAAACAUGCAGUCAUUCAAAAACAUUUUCAAAUUGUCAUUUUUGAAGAGUGCCAAGGACUCACUCUAAGUGGUAAAUUAAACAUCGAAUUCCAUUCAAGAUCAAGAUACUCACCGAAAAUCAAGGUGAUAUCUCAAAGUCAAUACUCAAGUGCAGACUCAAGAGAAGCUGCAUAAAUAGGAGCUUGUACUUUUAUUUUCCUUUUGACUAUUAGCUUUCAUUUUUUUUAUGUAAAGAUAAGAGCCGUGACCUGGAGCCUCGGUGGAACCUCACUUAACUUUCAACUCAUCACUUCAUCUUCUUGAACUACACGUGACCUGAAUCCCUUAUAACUUGGGAUAUGUAGAAUGUCCAAGACCAAGACUCGGUCGCACAAAUUUUUUAUUUUGAAUAAGAGUCUGGCCAAAAUUUGUCGCAUUGUCUCGAGUUGUCCACUCGGGUAAGCUAGUCUAGAUACCUAUCUUCUUCAUGGUUUGAACCUAGUAAAACUACGGACUCUGUAAACUCUACCGCCUAACAUGGCGACUCGUAUAACUAUCUUGUAGAGACCGAAAAUGCUGAGGCCGUUACUAAUCUAGAGUUGUUUCGUUGUAGGCUUGUAGCCUUCACCUUGCAGGUGCUAGGUAUAAAGACCUUCAACGACUUAAUUUUUGUUUUCAAGAGAUAGUUUAAAAAAACUUUACUACUUCUAAUAUAAAAAUUAUGUACUCACCUUUUGGAUACGACAUUGAGAAAUAAAAUCGACAAAAUACCCGAAUAUGUAGCAAAUUUACUCUUUUUCCUCAUGAGUACUCCUUUUGAUGGCUGAUUUAGCACAUGGGAACAUAAAUUCUAGUCAUAAAAGCAAAGCUCUUCAUUCUAGAAUGUAGAAGUAGAUAUAUUUAAAUUUGGAAAGAUAUCACCUAUGGAAACUCAACGUGUUAUUACUCAUGAAAAUUUUCUAGAUUUAUAAAAAAAGAUAAGUUUUAAUCUGCCUAUUUACUGUAGCUUCUCCCCAAAAUUAACAAGUAGUUUUUUCUUUGUUUUGAAAUGUACUUGUAGUUAUGAAUUAACCAGUAGCUACCGAAGAUAAGAUAUUCCUACUUCGUUCCUCAAAGUGAUAUUGGUGUGUUGAAAAUAUGGUAACCGCUAACUUGGCGUACGUAUAAAAUUGUAUGCUUGUGUUAAUAUAGAACAACCUUAUGUUGUUUUCUUUCUUUGAAACUGAUUUGUUUAACUAAGAUGUAUAUGUUGCGUAUCCGGGAGGCUUUCUUGGUUAUUCGGAGAAGUUGUUGAAAAAAGCAUAUGGCGCCAAUCCUCUGUUAUGUCUUUCCAUAUAGUUAUCAUGUAUUUGCUCAAUUUUUUUUGGAUGUAUCUCCCCAUUUUCAUUUAAUUGGCAGCAUAUGUCCAUGGGUACAAAAUCUAAAUUGAAACAUUUUACCAUAUUGUCUACUCAAUAAGACAACAUUAUUGCUCUCUUUUUCCCUACAUAACCCUUACAAAUCAUAUGAGUUACCUUGGUUUGCACCAUCCUGUGCAAUAGGCAAACUUUUGUUUUCAUUGCAGUUGCCUUUUUGAGCUUGACGUUAUAGACAGAAGUUGUACAAUGUCCAUGACAACCGAACAAACAUAUGAAACUCUUGCUAUCAAGGUUCACACAAAGAUUUUACACUGAAAUAUAAAUAACACAUUUCCAUGCUUUCUCAUUAUAAUUUAGUACUGAUAUCAUGUUAUGUAGAUCUUAAUUGGUGUGUUCUUUUUUUGACAAUUGGUUGGUGAACUGUUCACUCUUCAGCUACAAAGUUUCUACUCAAAAUUUCAGAUAAAAUGACUACUAUACUGGUCAUUUUAUUUUGCACGGAAAGAAAUCAUGCUUUUCCCGAAUUGAUCAACAUCUCUCCUUCCUAGAGAAGGAAUGAAGAAACGAAAAUUGCGCUGCCCAGAAAUAUGCAUUCCAAAUACUUGAAAUAACAUAUUCUAUGGUCUACUUAUUAUCUUGCAAUACUUUCCUUAAUUUGAUGCAGCGAAAACAAAGCUUGCUUUCAGCAAACAACAAAGAAACUAAUAAAAUAAUUUAAACCAACAAACAUUGGAAUGACAAUAGGGGAAAUUACAUGACCAUUGAUAUGAAAAGAAAUCUUACAGUUUUCUCAGGAAUUGAGGAGUUAGCUUUCAAUAUGAGCUACUCAAAGAUCUCGUACAUCAAUAUCUUUGUUGUACUUGCCCUUUUAUUCCACGUGAAAUCCUAAAAAGGUUCUAUGUACAUUUGGAGACUCUUCAAUUGUUUGGUCCAUCAGUAAGGUAAGGGAUAAAUUUCUCUUUAGAAAUCACCAAUAUCAUACCUUAACUAAAAGUCUCAAAUUUCUAAAUUAUAGUGUUACUUAAAAGAAAAUUUAUAUUGCAACGCAAGAAGUGAACAUUAAACAAACUCGAUAGAAAGAAAAAUAGAAGAAAAGAACCUAAUAACCUUAUCUUUUCUUAACUUGUAAUAUGUAUCUAGCUGCAGAAGAACAUCAAUAAGUAAAUUAGAAAGCGUCGACAGAAAAACUACAAAAUUUAACAUUGAAAGAGUGAAUAAGAAAGAGGGAAGGACAACAGAGAAACUCACCCAAAGCUGGAUGACACCUCGAAGUAGCAAAGGAGAAUGAGAGUUGUAGAGAAAGAUAAUAUAGUGAAAGAAAUUGAGAAUUGUAGAGUUAAGUCUAAUCCAUAAAAGUAAUAGUUAGAUCUAAAGUGAUACAUGUGUUUUACUGAAGUAGAAAGGCAAGGCAUGUAUCUAAUUAGUAAUUACCAAUGAGAUAGGUCCAACUCUAUAAUACAAUUAACUAUCAAUUGAAUUGUUAACACCUUGUGUUUACUUAUUAAUAAUAGAAAUUUUCAUACUAAAACAUAGGGAGGUACAAUUUUGGUCCUUUACCUGGUAAUACAACUACUGUAAUAUAAUGCAUCUCAAUUAGCAAGAGGUGGUUAGCUUUGGAUAUCAUAGCUACCAACUGGGAUUUGGAUAAAUAAUUGAAUAUGGGGAAUGACGUUUUUUAGAAGUGGAAGGGGAAUGAAGGAAAAUUACCUGGUAAUACAAUCUGUUUUGAAGAAUUGAUAUGACACUCAAAAUAGUCUUAUCCAACUGUGAGUUUGUUACCUAAUUAAUUGAUCAGAUCUAGAUACAAAUAUUAAUAUGAAUUAACAAACUUUAUUAUUUUGCAUGUAUACUUGACUAGAGUGAAUGUUGUCAUCAUCAUUUAAAUAGUCAAGAUUUAUGUUAUGAGAAUAAGCUAUUGUUGCAGGAAGAGGAUAAGGCAAAACUUGUCGAGGAAACAGGGUUCCAACAAAAAAAAAAAAAAAACUGGUUCAUCAAUCAAAGCAAGCACAAUUGGCAUAGCAACUCACAAUCUGUAAUAUUUCUAAAAUUCAAUCCAGGAGAUAGAGAGAAAUCAACGAGGUCCCUCGAAAGAAAUCAAAAACAUAUGUAAAUUCCUGCAUCUUCUUGAUGCCAUUAAUGAAAUCACUACUUCGUAAAAUAAAAAAUAAAAAAUCAAUGGUGAUAUGAAUAUAUAAAUGCUUUGAAGCAUAGUGUUGAACUAUCUAUUGUGGGUACAUGUUUAGGAGUUGCAUCUAUUGUGGGUACAUGUUUAGCAGUUGCAACUCCGUUAUUUACUUCGGCCAAACAAGUAUCAGAACUUGAUAUAAUUGAGGUGUGUUUGAUUAACUUGUAUUUCUAUUAUUGGAGUUUGUCGUGUACUUGUGUUUAGGCAUGAAGAAUUGUCCUAAAACAGGAGUUGUUCUCAGGUAUGGAGUGUUGUUUAGUAACAGAAUUUGUGCUCGCAAGCAAUCAAAAAAUAUAAUGAUCCAAGUAUGUUAUGCUUGAUAUGUUGUUUAUAAAAAUAAAUUUCUUCAAUGAAUGGACUUGGAACUUUUAUUUGAUUCUGGCUUUAACUUAUAGUUUACCACUUGUUUGUUGUUCACAUUUCCUUUGUGGUUACAACUACAAAUGAACUGCAUUAUUUAUACAUUCAAUCUAUGUUUGUUGGGCCCGUGCUUUGCACGGGCAUAUCACAUCUAGUAUAUAUAUACUUUUUAAUUAUUUUUUUAAAAUUUUAUUUAUUUGUAAUUUUAAUAUAGUAUUUAUUAAAUUAUUUUUAUUCACUUUAUCUAAUAAAUUUUUACUACUAUUUGAAGUAUUUUAUUUUAUUUUUUCGUUGAAACAUGGAAUUUACUAAUUUGUAUAAAUUCAUAUGCUAAAAUGGAAUUUGAUUUGCAAAUUUUUACUCAAUUCAAAAAACAAUUUUUUUUUUUAAAAAAAAUAGCCCUGCAAAACGCAGGUGAGCCUGCUCCUUGUAAGGCUAAAAGUUGUCAUAGCCUUGUAAGGCGCAUGGGUUUUUGUGCCUUACGGCGGAAACCCUGAUUUAAACACUGUUAAAAUUUGUUGCCCUUUGAUUUGAUAAAUAAUUUAGUUGCUCUUUUGAAAUUUUCAAAAAAAUUUGUUGCCCUUUUGAUUCCGAACUCCAAGUAAUUGACUGACCAUAUAAUAUAAAUAAUAUUUUCUUUCUUUCUUUCUUUGUCAAUCAAUUCGCCUGUCUUUUUGUGCUUUUGCUUUUAUAAAGUUGGCCAAUGUAUUCCUAACGUGAUGACAUAAAAGGUUGAGCAAAUCACAACCAUCCACCUUUAUUAAUCUGUUCAAAAAUGUUUAACAACCAAUUUACUUUAAUCUAAAGUAAAAUUACACUUAAAUAGUUUAUAAUUUAUUUCUACCAAUUAAUGACAGCCUUUUCUUUUCUUGAAACAUAUUAUUUUAACCUCUCAUAGUCGAAGAGUUCUUGUAUAGGUGGGUAAUGAAGAGUUUUCUAAUGUCUUUAAUAGUAGUAUUAAUUAGUGGUUUCUUUGAUUUUGUUAAAGGUAUCAAUAAGUGGUCUUCCUUUAUUCUUCCCUACUCCCUUCGAGGUUAAAUUGAGUUCAAUUGAAAAUUCUCUUAAAUUGUGUUAAAGCUUGAAAAAGUUGAGAUUGAAUCUAAUUCAAUUUACCUUGAGCCCACCCUUAAAAUUCUAGACUGAUUGGGCGGAUUACCUAUAGUUGGGCUCAUUUUUGACACUCCAACUAGGGGUGUACAUGACCGGGUUGGUUCGGGUUUUUCAAAUAUCAAAUCAAACCAUUUGUGUAAUUUGAUUAAAUUUAUAAACCAAACCAAACUAAUAAAAUUCGGAUUUUUUCGAUCGGGUUUUUCAACCUUAGGUUAGUUCGGGUUUUUCAAAUACCAAACCAAACCAUUGUGUCAAAUUUUUAAAUUUUUAAAUCAAACCAAACUAAUAAACCUUGGAUUUUUUCUGAUUUUUGAAUUUUUUCUGUAAAAUUUGCAUACAAACAUAUAAUUAACUUGUNNNNNNNNNNNNNNNNNNNNNNNNNNNNNNNNNNNNNNNNNNNNNNNNNNNNNNNNNNNNNNNNNNNNNNNNNNNNNNNNNNNNNNNNNNNNNNNNNNNNNNNNNNNNNNNNNNNNNNNNNNNNNNNNNNNNNNNNNNNNNNNNNNNNNNNNNNNNNNNNNNNNNNNNNNNNNNNNNNNNNNNNNNNNNNNNNNNNNNNNNNNNNNNGCCCACCCCCAAAAAAAAAUAAAAAAAUUUAAGUUUGUUUUUAAAAAAUAUUUUCAACUUCAAAAUUUCAAUUUUUCACCCCUACCCUCGACCUCACCUCCCACCCCCCAAAAAAAUUACACUUUUUUUCUUGAAACAUAUUAUUUUAACCUCUCAUAGUCGAAGAGUUCUUGUAUAGGUGGGUAAUGAAGAGUUUUCUAAAUAAAAUUUAAGUUUGUUUUUUAAAAAAAUAUUUUCAAUUUCAAAAUUAUUUUCUACUCUAGUAAAAAUAAAAGAUAUUUCUCAAAAAUAUUUUUCAUUCAUAAAUCAAACAUUAAAAAUCUUUUCCGGAAAAUAUUUUCUACUCACCCACCAAACAUGAGAAAAUAAGUCAAAAAUCAACUUGUUUCCAGGAAAACAUUUCCUUCAUACCAAACACACCCUAAAUUUCUUCCAUUUGUGCUAAUUAGUGAAUGUGUGUUGUGUAACACAGCCUUGUAAAUUUGAUUUUAAAGAUUGACUCCUAUUGACUUUGCUCUUAAGUCUUAAGGGGUCGUUUGGUGUGAUGGAUAAGGGGAGUUAAUCCUGGGAUAAAUUUUGAGCACCAUUUAAUCCUUUGUUUGGUUGCACAACAUGGGAUAAUUUAUCCCAGGAUUAAUAAUUAGUCCUGGGAUAAGUUAUCCCUAUCUUUGGGUGGAAUAGUAAUACCGGGAUUAAUAUAUUCUUUCAUCUCACGAUACCAUAUCGUGAUAUGGUAUCGCAUGGCCAAACGGGCCAUUAGUUUCCUCCUUUUAAUCUGUCUUUACAUUAAUCUGUUUGUUACUUAUUUUCCUCGUAUGAAUCUGUUUUCACAUUUUUGGAAAUUAUAGUCUAUACUUUUUCAACACUUUAUUUGUUUUAGUGUUAUAUAUAUAUAUAUAUAUAGUGGAGUAAAUUUGAUAUUGGAAAUACAACACACACAAAUUAAUAUGGAGAAGCACAUCUUCUUAUUGAUUCUUCUCUUUCUAAUUCAAUUUUCUAUAUCAUUUGCUUCCUCUAGUGAGACUGACCAACAAGCUCUAUUAGCUUUCCAAAAUCUUAUUACAAGUCCCACUCAUUUUUUGGCCAACAAUUGGACCAAAAAUACUUCCUUUUGCUCUUGGUUUGGUGUCACUUGCACUCCAAAAAGGCAAUGGGUUGUGGCCUUGGCUCUUCCUAAUUUGCAUCUUCAAGGCACAAUCUCAACGUCUUUGGCCAAUUUGUCCUUCCUCAGUGUUCUCAAUCUCGAGAACAACAACUUCCGCGGUGGCAUCCCUUAUGAACUUGGCCACUUGCCUCGCUUGCGAGUGAUUGAUAUUCAAAACAAUCAGCUCAACGGAAGUAUACCAACAAGUCUAUUUCAACACCGGAGAGUUCAAGUAAUUUCAUUGGCUUUCAAUGAACUCGGUGGUGAAAUGUGGAAAGGGCCAUGGUAUGUACCCAAACUCAGAGUCUUGGAUCUCACCAACAAUAACCUCACGGGUAUGAUCCCUCCUUCUGUUGGAAAUGCCACAAAAAUGAUGAACUUCAGUUUGUCUGGGAAUAGAGUCAGCGGCAACAUUCCAAAGGAGGUCGGUAAUCUGAGCCAACUUGCAGACUUGUCCUUGACUGACAAUCAAUUAACAGGUUCCAUUCCUGUAGGACUAUUUAAUAUCUCGUCGCUACUUGCCAUAAAUCUGCUAUACAAUAGACUUUCCGGUCCUCUCUUGCUAGAUGAAGGAAUUUUUUUGUCAAAUCUGAAGUUUCUAAGUAUAUCUCGCAACCAGAUUUCUGGUUGCAUUCCUUCCAACAUAUGCCAACUCAGAGAGCUCAAAGUUUUGUCCAUAUCUUUCAACAACAUAACUGGAGACAUACCCAAAAAUAUUGAUUGUUUAUCCAAUCUCCAGGAGUUUUUUAUUCGUCAUAAUUCAAUAAAAGGGACUAUUCCCACUUCAUUGGGAAAUAUUUCAACUCUGCAAUAUCUUUAUUCUGGAAGCAAUCUCAUAGUGGGGCCAAUUCCUCCAGAAUUAGGGAAGCUAUCAAAUUUGAGGGUAUUAACCUUUUCCAAUAAUUCUCUUAUUGGUCAAAUUCCAGAGGCUAUUUUCAACAUAUCUUCUUUGGAAGUGAUUGUUUUCAAUUUCAACAAUCUCUCCGGGAGAUUUCCAACCACUACAGGUCUUCAUCUUCCGAACCUUAAAGUACUUGAGUUGGGAGUCAAUCAGCUGGAAGGGGAAAUUCCAUUGUUCAUAACAAAUGCUUCCAAGCUUCAGAUACUGGCGCUAGAACAUAACUCUCUCACGGGAGCUAUUCCUACUAAUUUGGGGAAUCUUCAUGAGCUGCGAUCACUCAUACUACAUCGUAAUCAACUUACCAAUGAACCAAGAGAGAGUGAGUUGUUAUUCUCCAAUUCUUUGGCGGACUGUAGGAUGUUGCUAUGUAUAGAUGUGGGUGAAAAUCCGUUGAACGGCGUUCUGCCCAAUUCUAUUGGGAAUCUUUCAUCUACUCUUGAAUACUUGAAUAUACAAGAUGCACACAUCAACGGCCUCAUUCCCACAGGUAUAAGCAACAUGAGCAGUCUAAUGACACUAGACUUUCAAGGAAACAACUUGACAGGGAGUAUUCCUUCUGAUGUUGGUAAGCUUAAACAACUCCAAGGUCUGUUUCUAACUAACAAUAAAUUGCAUGGACAUAUUCCAGAGGCGGUAUGCCAUUUAUCUAAUUUGGUUCAAUUAUUUCUAAAUGGUAAUGAGCUCUCUGGAUUAAUUCCAGAAUGCUUAGGAAAUCUUAGCAUGCUACAGAAGCUUUAUUUGGGUUCUAAUAAAUUUUCAUCAAAAUUUCCGUUGAGCCUUUGGAAGAUGAGUGGUCUUCUCUAUCUAAGUGUGUCACAAAAUUCAAUAGAGGGAGAAGUUCCAUCAGAUAUUGGAGGAAUGAAAGCCAUUGUAGAACUAUAUCUUUACAGUAACCACUUUUCAGGAAUGAUACCAACCAGAUUCGGGGAACUCCAAAACCUGCAGUAUCUUGACCUAUCAAACAACUCAUUUUUUGGUCAAAAUUCCAUUUAUCCUUUGCCAACUUGAUAAGCUUAGAAUACUUGGAUUUGCUUUAAAUGUAUUGUCAGGUACUAUUCCUAAGUCUUUGGUAAAAACUCUCAUACCUUAAAAGCAUUAAUGUUCAUUUAAUGAUUUAGAAGGUGAAAUACCGAGUGGUGGCGUUUUUGCAAAUUCAACUCUGCAAUCAUUUAUUCGGAACAAAGGUCUUUGCGGAAUACACAUAUUGGAGAUUCCUGCUUGUGCUAUCAAUAAUCCUGGAAAACAAUCAAAGCUUAAGGAGGUUCUACUAAAAAUUGUUACUCCAGUGGUUAUUGCAUCCUUUUUGAUAUUCUUGUUGGUUUUAAUUUGGAUAAUGAAACAACAGAAGAAAGGAAAGUCCAAAGAUGUUGAACAGGUACUGGAGAUCAGGACUCAUCAUUUAGUUUCUUAUCACGAGAUUCAACGAGCAACAAAUAAUUUUGAUGAAUCCAAUUUAAUUGGUGAGGGAAGCUCUGGUUCUGUGUACAAAGGCACAUUGUUUGGUGGAACUGCAGUGGCCAUUAAGGUUCUAGAUUUGGAAAAUGAGCAAGUAUGCAAAAGGUUUGAUACCGAAUGUGAUGUAAUGAGAAAUGUUAGACACAGAAAUCUUGUUCCAGUGAUUACUACAUGUUCUAAUGACUAUAUAAGAGCCUUUGUUCUGCAAUUUAUUCCCAAUGGAAGUCUUGAGAAUUGGCUCUACAAAGAAGAUCGCCACUUGAACCUUCAUCAAAGAGUCACUGUAAUGCUUGAUGCAGCUAUGGCAGUUGAAUAUCUACAUCAUGGUCAUGUCACUCCAAUAGUUCAUUGUGACCUCAAGCCAGCCAACAUUCUUUUGGAUGAAGAUAUGGUGGCUCAUGUUGGUGAUUUUGGAAUCUCUAAAAUUUUAGCAAUAAGCAAGUCCAUGGCUUAUACCGAGACAUUGGGCACUCCUGGAUACAUUGCACCAGGUAUAAAAAACCUACUCUCUUUGAUUUUCUCUUCUCAUAAUUAAGCCUCUCCAAAUUCUAAAAGUAAAAAGAGCAAGUCUUUAUUUAUGUAGAAUUAUUGUUGUAUUUCAAUUGAAUUAACUUUUUUUUCAAUCCUUUUUUAAGAAUAUGGCUCGGAUGGAAUAGUGUCUGCUAGUGGCGAUGUUUAUAGUUACGGCAUCAUGUUGAUGGAGGUUUUGACGAAAAGAAGGCCAACAGAUGAAGAGAUAUGCAAUGAAAAUCUUGACUUGAGGAAAUGGAUAACACAAUCAUUUUUAGGGAGUAUGAUGGACUUUGUGGAUAUCAAUCUUUUUUCCAAGGAAGAACAGAUCACUUCAAAAAGUGAAAUCUGCAUUGCGUCCAUGAUAGAAUUGGGUUUAGACUGCACAAUGGAAAUGCCAGGAUCAAGAAUAAGCAUGAAAGAAGUAGUGAAGAGGCUUAACAAAAUCAACAACACAUUUCUGGAAACACAUAAGUGAUCAGCAUCUGUUCGGAUGGUGUUCUUUUCUGAGCUGCAAGUUAAUAUGAUGUUUUUGUUUCUUUAGUAAAGUCGUCGUAUAGUACUACUUGGAGUCAUGUAUUGUUUGUAAUUUCAUUUGAGUAUUUGAACCUAUUUUACUUUAUCUAUUUGUAAUUAUGUUUUGAAUGCUUGAAAGAAACCAGAAUGAAAUUAAUAGUCGCUUGACUCCGGUGAGUUUUUAAGAGUUUUUCGUGAGUAUUAUUCCACAAACUUUUUUUUAAAUUAGGGGUUUGUUUUUUUGGAAAUUUGGAUGAUUCUUCAAUUGGGUAUGUCAGAUUUUGCUUAAAGUUAAUGUCUUUAUCAUUUUAUCUGGUAGUAUAUGCUAAAAGGGUUUGUUUCUUGCCAAAAUUUGGGUGAUUCUUCAAAUGGGUAUUUGCAGAUUUUGUUAAAGUUCAUGUCUUCUCUUUCAUCUGAUUGUUUAUGGUAACAAAUGGACUUGAUGAACUGAAGAGCUUGAACUUUUUUAGAAAUUUCACACACAUACACAUGAUCCCUGUGAAUGGAGGAUUGUUGGGCUAAAUCAGCUCAAAGAUACUCUUAAUAUGGUGUUAUAUUGUCCGUUUUAAUCCAAGCCCUCACGGUUUAACUCAAAAAAGUACUACGUCGUUAAUAGAUCCUACAUCUUAUAUGACGCUUCCCAAUCUUUCAGCUACCAAUGUGGUGCUUUGUGUCAUUUGAGAAUUCCCCUUAUUAGAAUUUGACACACACAUACACUUGAUCCCUAUGAAUGGCGGGUUGUUGGGCUAAAUCAGCUCAAAGAUACUCUUAAUAUGGUGUUAUAUUGUCCGUUUUAAUCCAAGCCCUCACGGUUUAACUCAAAAAAGUACUACGUCGUUAAUAGAUCCUACAUCUUAUAUGACGCUUCCCAAUCUUUCAGCUACCAAUGUGGUGCUUUGUGUCAUUUGAGAAUUCCCCUUAUUAGAAUUUGACACACACAUACACUUGAUCCCUAUGAAUGGCGGGUUGUUGGGCUAAAUCAGCUCAAAGAUACUCUUAAUAUGGUGUUAUAUUGUCCGUUUUAAUCCAAGCCCUCACGGUUUAACUCAAAAAAGUACUACGUCGUUAAUAGAUCCUACAUCUUAUAUGACGCUUCCCAAUCUUUCAGCUACCAAUGUGGUGCUUUGUGUCAUUUGAGAAUUCCCCUUAUUAGAAUUUGACACACACAUACACUUGAUCCCUAUGAAUGGCGGGUUGUUGGGCUAAAUCAGCUCAAAGAUACUCUUAGCAUGGUGUGAUAUUGUCCGUUUUAAGCCAAGCCCUCAUGGUUUAACUCAAAAGGUGCUACGUCGUUAAGAGAUCCUUCAUCUUAUAUGUAGCUUCCCAAUCUUUUCAACUGCCAAUGUGUGACUUUGUAACCGCAGAGGAUGAACACAUCUUUAUUCCCGUGUGGAUCCGGGUAUUUACUUUUUAGUGCCUUGUGCCUUAGGUGUUAUGUUCAAAUCGCAUAUGUCCAAGCCUUGGUGGGUAGUUACUUGUUUGAUUCGGGAAUUAACUUUUAGUGCCUUAGGUCUCAGAUUCAAAUCGUACAUGUCCAAGCCUUGGUGGGCAGUUACCUAUGUUGGUGGGAGAUAGUAAAUUCCAUGUGGAAUUGAUUGAGGUGUACACAGGCUGGCCUGGACACUAGAGUUAUCGAAAAAAAGAAUUUUCACCGACUUGAAUUUCAGCAGAUCAAAACUUUUAUAGUUACAAGUAAUUUGUAACAAAAAUUGUGUCAAAGAAAUAGAAACAGUGUCACUGUUUUUCUUGGACUUUUCUGUAUUUGUGUAUUGUUUACUCUCUUCAUAAUGAAGAUUUGACUUUCGGUAGUGUCUAUUUCAUUUUACAGGAAAAUGUAGAUGAAGCAGUAAAGAAACUGAGAGAUGGAGGAAUUGAAGUGUUGGGAUUAGUAUGUCAUGUCUCAAAUGCACAACAGAGGAAGAAUUUGAUAGACAAGACCAUUCAGGUAUGAAUUGAAAUGAUUCUGCCGUAAAUUAACACUUCUUGGUCUGUGCUUGCAUAUCUCGGAGGUCAAUUGCUAUGUUGCUUGGACUCUUCAAAAAUGUCGACGGGUGCGUGUCGGAUCCUCCAAAGAUAGUGUAUUUUUGAAGGAUCCGACACGGGUGUGGCAACAUUUUUGGAGAGUCUGAGCAACUUGGGUCAAUUGUAUGUUAUUUUCUUGGGAAAUGGUUUUUGAUCUAACAAGUUAUGUAAAGCUAGUUGGUUUUUCUGAUGUCUAACUACGGAAAAUGAGAAGUCAAUGCUUACUACUUUGUAUGAUCCAACUUUGUUAAUUGAAAUUUGUAAUUUUUCAGAAAUAUGGGAAACUAGAUGUGGUUGUGUCAAAUGCCGCUGUCAAUCCUUCAGUAGAUGCAAUAUUAGAAACUAAAGCAUCAGUCAUUGACAAGCUGUGGGAUAUCAAUGUCAAGGCCGCUAUACUAUUACUACAAGUAAGUUAAUGAUAAAAAAAUCACGACAACAACGUUGCAAAUGCAUGUGUUACUUCGUCGAGCAUUUAUUGAAUACAUUGAAAGGCAAUGACUAUUUGUUCUAGUAUCACAUAUUUCCAUAUACUACAAAUUCUCGAAUUCCUUUUCUUUUCCUUCAUGUUCUGCUAUUUCGCUCAAUAUUUUGAUCUUUAUACUGUUUAUAGGAUGCAGCUCCUUACCUUAAGAAGGGUUCAUCAGUUGUUCUGAUUUCCUCAAUUUCUGGUUACUCGCCACCAGCUUCAAUGGGUAUGUAUGGAGGGACUAAAACUGCGCUACUCGGACUUACCAAGGUACUAAUGUUUAACUUGGCAUCCAUGGCACAUGAGUAACUAUUAUAUCCUAUUAGUGCUUUCUUCUUAUUGUCUUAUUUGGAAAGCCAGGCUCUUGCAGCUGAAAUGAGUCCAGAUACUCGUGUAAACUGUGUAGCACCGGGUUUUGUACCUACACAUUUUGCUGAUUUCAUCACGAGUAAUGAACAAGUGGCAAGUUCUUAUUAAAUGAAAUCUUACUCAUAGCAAAAUCUUAUAAAUAUUCUCUAUUUACUUACUAACUAGUUGCUGAUUGUGUUUAGAGGAGAGAGAUUGAGGGCAAGACAUUACUCAAUAGGCUUGGAACAACACAAGAUAUGGCCGCUGCUGUUGCUUAUUUGGCUUCUGAUGAUGCUUCUUAUGUAACCGGAGAAACUCUGGUUGUUGCUGGAGGAAUGCCUUCCAGACUUUAACUUCUCGAUUGUAGUGCCUCUCCUUCUGGUUUUAGUUAGCUUGCAUCAUAUAAUUUGUAGAAUGUAAUUUGUAUAACUGUUUAAGUUCAGAUGUUUGUGUUUGUAUAAAUUCGUUAUUUCGAGUUUUAUCAUAUUUGUAUAAUUGAGUAAUACAAUUACUCAAUUAUACAAGUACACACGAAUUAUACAACGAGGUGUGAAUUAUACAAAUUACUGCCCUCUCUCGCUCACCUCUCUCCUCCCUCUCUCAAUCUCGCUCGCCUCUCUCCUCCCUCUCCCAUUCUCUCUCGCCUCUCUCCUCUCCAACCAUGAAGCUACGAAUCGUAAUUAGCAAACUAUAGUUAUGGAGCAUAAUUAAGCUACUUUUGAGUAGCUAUAUGUAAAAAUUUCCCUAGUUUCUAUGACUUUUGUCAAACUAUAUUGUAUAGUCCGAAUUUUCGAAUAUUUUCUUUAUGUAAAUAAAAUAUGACUAUAUUUGUUGUAAAUUAAUUAUUUUAUUGUAUAUAUUUGAAACUAGCCCUUUUUUUUCAAGUUCAUAGCAUAAUAAUUUCCCUUUUCAUUUGAAUUUGGUUAAAUGUAAUAUAUUUUGGAAUUAAAAGGGAAAAAAAAUACUAAUUAAAAAAAUGUAUAUAUCAAAUUACAUAUGACAACGGGUGUAGUGUGUGUCACAGUUUAUUUUCUUUGAGAGAAAACCUUAAAAUUUCUUCCAUUUUGGCUAAUUAGUGAAUGUGUGUUGUGUAACACAGGCUUGGCUUUUAACAAUAUAAUGAAAAUUGAUAGCAAUUUUCUACAUCACUUGCUUCCUCUAUGAGACUGACCAACAAGCUCUAUUAGCUUUCCAAAAUCUUAUUAUUACAAGUCCCACUCAUUUUUUGGCCAACAAUUGGACCAAAAAUACCUCUUUUUGCUCUUGGUUUGGUGUCACUUGCACUCCAAAAAGGCAAAGGGUUGUGGCAUUGGCUCUUCCUAAUUUGCAACUUCAAGGGAUAAUUUCGAUGUCUUUGGCCAAUUUGUCCUUCCUCAGUGUUCUCAAUCUCGAGAACAACAACUUCCGCGGUGGCAUCCCUUAUGAACUUGGCUACUUGCCUCGCUUGCGAGUGAUUGAUAUUCAAAACAAUCAGCUCAACGGAAGUAUACCAACAAGUCUAUUUCAACACCAAGGAGUUCAAGUAAUUUCAUUGGCUUUCAAUGAACUCGGUGGUGAAAUGUGGAAAGGCCUAUGGUAUGUACCCGAACUCAGAGUCUUGGAUCUCACCAACAAUAACCUCACGGGUAUGAUCCCUCCUUCUGUUGGAAAUGCCACAAAAAUGAUGAACUUCAGUUUGUCUGGGAAUAGAGUCAGCGGCAACAUUCCAAAGGAGGUCGGUAAUCUGAGCCAGCUUGCAUUUUUGUACUUGUUCGAUAAUCAAUUAACAGGUUCCAUUCCCGCAACACUGUUUAAUAUGUCGUCACUAUUUGUCCUAUCUCUGGGAAAUAAUAUCCUUUCUGGUCCUCUCUUGGUAGAUGAAGGGAACAUUGUCUCAAAUAUGAACGUUGUAAGUAUAUCUCUCAAUCAAAUUUCUGGUUGCAUUCCUUCCAACAUGUGCCAACUCACAGACCUCAAACUUUUGUCCAUAUCAUUCAACAACAUAACUGGAGACAUACCCAGAAAUAUUGAUUGUUUAUCCAAACUCAAGAUGUUUCUUGUUGGAGAUAAUCCAAUAAAAGGGACUAUUCCCACUUCAUUGGGAAAUAUUUCCACUCUGCAAUAUCUUUAUUGUGAAAACAAUCGCAUAGUUGGGCAAAUUUCUCCAGAAUUAGGGAAGCUAUCAAAUUUGAGGGAAUUAUUCUUUGACAAUAAUUAUAAUCUUAUUGGUCAAAUUCGUAAGGCUAUUUUCAACAUAUCUUCUUUGGAAGUUAUUGAUUUCAGUUUCAACAACCUCUCGAGCAGAAUUCCAACCACUACAGGUCUUCAUCUUCCAAACAUUAAGCAACUUAUCUUGGGAGACAAUCAGCUGGAAGGAGAAAUUCCAUUGUUCAUUACAAAUGCUUCCAAGCUUAGAAUUCUUGGAUUUGUCUUUAAAUGUAUUGUCAGGUACUAUUCCUAAGUCUUUGGAAAAACUCUACUACCUUAAAAGCAUUAAUGUUUCAUUUAAUGAUUUAGAAGGUGAAAUACCGAGUGGUGGAGUGUUUGCAAAUUCCACUCUGCAAUCAUUUCUUCGGAACAAAGGUCUUUGCGGAAUACACAUAUUGGAGAUUCCUGAUUGUGCUAUCAAUAAUCCUGGAAAACAAUCAAAGCUUAAGGAGGUUCUACUAAAAAUUGUUACUCCAGUGGUUAUUGCAUCCUUUUUGAUAUUCUUGUUGGUUUUAAUUUGGAUUAAUUGAAACUAACAGAAGAAAGGAAAGUCCAAAGUAUGUUGAACAGGUACUGGAGAUCGGGACUCGUCAUUUAGUUUCUUAUCACGAGAUUCAACGAGCAACAAAUAAUUUUGAUGAAUCCAAUUUAAUUGGUGAGGGAAGCUCUGGCUCUGUGUACAAAGGCACAUUAUCUAGUGGAACUGCAGUGGCCAUUAAGGUUCUAGAUUUGGAAAAUGAGAAAGUAUGCAAGAGGUUUGAUACCGAAUGUGAAGUGAUGAGAAAUGUUAGACACAGAAAUCUUGUUCCAGUGAUUACUACAUGUUCUAAUGACUAUAUAAGAGCCUUUGUUCUGCGAUAUACACCCAAUGGGAGUCUUUGAGGAAUGGUUGUACAAAGAAGUGUCCAACUUGAACCUUUCUUUCUCUACACCGGAAAUAAAUUCACCAUUUUGGUACCAACUACAACAGCAAAAUCGCUGCCUUGACCAUUCCUGACCAUUGUUUUUAUGAAGUGGAUGAAUUAAAAACUUGAGAUUUUCAAAAAGUUUUAUUUUUUUCAAAGUAAUUAUUGAGGGUAUGGUAGAUAAAAAAUAUUUGUCAUUCUUAAUUUGUCAAAAUGAACAAGUAAUUAGGGGACAAAGGGAGUAUAUACAUAUGUUUUUCUAUUUCUUUCUUAAUAAUGCAAGUAACUGGAGUCCAGAACCAAAAGGGCAACAAAAUUUUUUGAAAAUUCUAAAAGGGCAACUAAAUUAUUUAUCAAACCAAAAGGGCAACAAAUGGUUUCCGCCGCAAGGCGUAGAAACCCAUGUGCCUUACAAGGCUAUGACAACUUUUAGCCUUGUAAGGCUAUGACGGCUUUUAGCCUUACAAGGCGCAGACAAACCUGCAUUUUGCAGGCUGUUCUUUUAUAAAAAAAAUUAUUUUCUGAAUUGAGUAAAAAUUUAUGAAUAAAAUUCCAUUUUAGCAUAUGAAUUUAUACAAAUUAGUAAAUUCUUCAAGGGGCCUACUUUUUGUUAUUGAAACAAGGCGCAAGCUCCUUGUAUACUUCUUUUUUUAUUUAUUCUUUUACCUUUUUUUUUUCUUCAAAUUUUUAGUAAACAAGGCGCAAGGGCCUGUAUACUUGCUUCUUUUUUUUCUUUUUUUUUACGGAAAAUAGCCAAAAAUACCUUUGAACUAUUUGAAAAGGUUUAAAUAUACUCCUCAUCCACCUAUUGGGUUAAAAUAACCCUCCGUUCACCUUUUUGGUCCAUUUUUACCCUUAAAACUAACACCCUUUUAUUUUUUAAUUAUUUUUAUUAUUAUUUAUUACAUGGCAUUUUCUAAUUGGAUAAACCUAAAUUCUAACCCAUUAAAUUUUCCUUCAUCCGUCCCGACCCAUAUUUAUAGCCCCAUGACCCAAACUCAAUUAAAAGACCCUUUAAAAAAAACAUCUCUCUUUCUCACUAAAGCUAUUUCAGAACCACCCAUCAACUACAAGAAGAAGCAUUUUCAGCUACUUCAACUUCUGUGUGAAAGCUUGAAGUUGAUUAUGAUUGAUUUUUGUGUAUUUUUCUAACUUUUCUGUAAUGAUAAUGUUUCAAGGUGAAUUUAUGAUAACUCUUUUAAGAAAUAAUAACUUAUUCUGGUUUUUGAAGAUUGUGAAAAAAAGAAGAAGCUAUUUCAAGACCAAGUUAAAGAAUCAAGCAACUUAAUUUGAUGUAUAUGUUUCUUUCUUAAAAGCCACGUAUCAGCAAUUCACGUCUCUGUCAAUUUUUUAAAAGAUGUUGUGGUGUUCUUGGUGGUCCGUGGUGCAGGGAGAAAGUAAACUAUCAUAAUAUUAUGCCCAAAUAUAGUUGUUAGCUAAUCUUUUUUUAUCAAAUGAUUAAUUAUGUAGCAGGGCAUGUGGGUGAUCAUUGAUAUAAAGUGUAGUAUAUUGUUUUUCAUGUAAAUUUUUUUGGUACACAAUUUUCAUUCUUGCAAGAAGCUAUUAGGAUUAUUGGAGAAAGAGAGGUUAAUAUAUCCUUUAUUUUUAAUGGGUUUUAAAUUGGGUUUUGGGUUAUGGGCUAUGAUGGAUAUGGGUCAGUGGGCAGAGGAAAAUCUAAUGGGUUGGAAUUUAGUUUUAUCCAAUAAGAAGAUGCCACGUAAUAAAUAUUAAUAAAAAUAAUUAAAAAAUAAAAGAGUGUUAGUUUUAAGGGUAAAAAUGGAUCAAAAAGGUGAAUUGAGGGAUAUUUUUAACCUAAUAGGUGAAUGAGGGGUAUAUUUGAACAUUUUCGAAUAGUUCAACGGUAUUUUUGGCCCUUUUCCGUUUUUUUUACUUUCUUUUUUCAAAUUUUUAGUUUAUGCCUUUAUAUAUAUAUACUUUUUAAUUAUUAUUUUUAAAAUUUUAUUUAUUUGUAAUUUUAAUAUAGUAUUUAUUAAAUUAUUUUUAUUCACUUUAUCUAAUAAUUUUUUACUACUAAUUGAGUAUUUUUUUUUUGUUGAAACAUGGAAUUUACUAAUUUGUAUAAAUUCAUAUGCUAAAAUGGAAUUUGAUUCGCAAAUUUUUACUUAAUUCAGAAAACAAUUUUUUUUUUUUUUAAAAAAACAGCCCUGCAAAACGCAGGUGGGCCUGCGCCUUGUAAGGCUAAAAGUUGUCAUAGCCUUGUAAGGCACAUGGGUUUCUGCGCCUUGUGGCGGAAACCCUGAUUUAAACGCCAUUAAAAUGUAUUGCCCUUUUAAAAUUUUCGAAAAAUUUUGUUGCCAUUUUGAUUCCGAACUCCAAGUAAUUGACUGACCAUAUAAUAUAAAUAAUAUUUUCUUUCUUUCUUUCUUUCUUUGUCAAUCAAUUAACCUGUCUUUUUGUGGUUUUGCUUUUAUAAAGUUGGCCAAUGUAUUCCUUAUAAUGCGAUGACAUAAAAGGUUGAGCAAAUCACAACCAUUCACCUUUAUUAAUCUAUUAAAAAAUAUUUAACAACCAAUUUACUUUAAUCUAAAGUAAAAUUACACUUAAAUAGUUUAUAAUUUAUUUCUAUCAAUUAAUGAUAACCUUUUCUUUUUUCUUCUUUUCUUGAAACAUAUUAUUUUAACCUCUCAUAGUCGAAGAGUUCUUGUAUAGGUGGGUAAUGAAGAGUUUUCUAAUGUCUUUAAUAGUAGUAUUAAAUAGCAAUGGUGGUCUUAGAGAGGUGCCACAUCAUCCUUGCCUACAUUUAGUUUUAUAUUAUAUAUAGAUUGUUAUUAUUAUUAAUUCAUGAAAUAUAAUAAGAUGCAACAAAUAUAUAUAUAUAUAUAAAUACUUUUAUAAUAAAACAAAUUAAUAAUGAAAAUAAUGAAAGGAAUUUUUUUUAAAAAAAAAGAAGAAGGGAAGACUAAAGAUAAAUAAUAUUCUAGGCCAUAAAGAGGUGCCAUAAUAAAUUAAUAUAUAUACUUUUAUAAUCAAACAAAUUAAUAAUGAAAAUAAUGAAAGGAUUUUAUUUAUUUUUUUAAAAAAGGGAAGACUAAAGAUAAAUAAUAUUCUAGGCCAUAAAGAGGUGCCAUAAUAAAUUAAUAUGAUUGUUAUAAAUUUAAUGAAACUUAAUAAAUAGGAUAGAAUAUGAUUAGUUCUUUGAUUUAAAAAUAAGAAAAUAUAGAGAAAAACGUUUAAAAAAUGAGAAAAAAGAUAAAUAGCACGGUAGCCUUAGAGAGGUGCCACAUCAUCCUUGCCUACAUUUAACUUUAUAUUAUAUAUAGAUUUGUUUUAAUUUUUUUUUUAUAUAUUAUAUUGUGAACUGUGAUAAUACCAUACUUUUAUUCUCUUUUUCAAUGUACCUGUGGAUAUUAUUGUUUUGAAUUUAUGUCCUUUUCUCUUUGUGGGUAAAUUUUUUACUUUUAUUGAGGAAAUAUUUCAUGGAGAGUAUCAUGCUUUAUGUGUGGAUUGAUAUGGUGUCGACAUUUUUUUCUCACUUUAUGAAACAACAUUACAUUUUAUAAUAUAGGAAAAAGGGUAUGAUAUACCCGUUAUACAAAUGGUUCACAUAUGUCCUUACCGUUAUAAAAGGAGCUCACAUAUACCCUUCAUCUAAUGAAAGUGAAAAUAUUAGUUUGAAAUUUUAUUUUCUUUACUUUAAAUUUUAGAAAAAUUCAUGUAGGGGUAUAUAUAUGAUCCUUCUAACAAAGUUUAAGGUAUAUUUUAAUAUUUUUCAUACAAAAAUUAAUCUUUUAACUUCUUUGAUUAUCAUUAUUUGAGUUUCUUAUUCUUUUUUCUAUUCACCUUUAUUAAUCUAUUAAAAAAUGUUUAACAACCAAUUUACUUUAAUCUAAAGUGAAAUUACACUUAAAUAGUUUAUAAUUUAUUUCUACCAAUUAAUGACAACCUUUUCUUUUCUCUUCUUUUCUUGAAACAUAUUAUUUUAACCUCUCAUAGUCGAAGAUUUCCUGUAUAGGUGGGGGUAAUGAAGAGUUUUCUAAUGUCUUUAAUAGUAGUAUUAAUUAGUGGUUUCUUUUAUUUUGUUAAAGGUAUCAACAAGUGGUCUUCCUUUAUUCUUCCCUACUCCCUUGGAGAUUAAAUUGGGUUCAAUUGAAAAUUUUCUUAAAUUGUGUUAAAGCUUGAAAAAGUUGAGAUUGAAUCCAAUUCAAUUUACCUUGAGCCCAACCCUUAAAAUUCUAGACCGAUUGGGCGGAUUGCCUAUAGUUGGGCUCAUUUUUGACACUCUAACUAUUGCGCUAGACAUUGAUCCACUUCUCAACAAUAACUAAAUAACACUAAGUACUCUAUUAUCUCAUAAAUUUUGAUUGUUAAAUGCGAAAUGGACAUCUAAUUUAAAACAAAACUCAAUGAAAAAAGAAAAAUAAUUCCUCCCCAACUUCAUCUUGUAAUCACAGGUUAUUCGGAUGAUUGUUACUUAUUAUGUUUGUUAUUUGUUAUUGAGAUAUAGUAUUUAUUUUGAUUGUUACUUAAGCCUAUUUUAUCUUUUACUGUUCAGAUAAUUAUUACUUAUUGUAUUCCUUAUUUGGGUAUAUAUAAUAUUUGUUUUGAUUUUUUUUUAUAUAUUAUAUUGUAAACUGUGAUAAUACCAUACUUUUAUUCUCUUUUUCAAUGUACCUGUGCAUAUUAUUGUUUUGAAUUUUUGUCCUUUUGUCCUUGUGGGUAAAUUUUUUACUUUUAUUGAGGAAAUAUUUCAUGUAGAGUAUCAUGCUUUUAUGUGUGGAUUGAUAUGGUGUCGAUAUUUUUUUUCUCACGUUAUGAAACAACAUUACAUUUUAAAAUAUAUGGAAAAGUGUCUGAUAUACCCGUUAUACAAAUGGUUCACAUAUGUCCUUACCGUUAUAAAAGGAGCUCACAUAUAUCCUUCAUCUAACGGAAGUGAAAAUAUUUGUUUGAAAUUUAUUUUCUUUACUUUAAAUUUUAGAAAAAUUCAUGUAGGCGUAUAUGAUCCUUCUAACAAAGUUCAAGGUAUAUUUUAAUAUUUUUCAUACAAAAAUUAUCUUUUAACUUCUUUGAUUAUCAUAAAUCAAGUUUCUUAUNNNNNNNNNNNNNNNNNNNNNNNNNNNNNNNNNNNNNNNNNNNNNNNNNNNNNNNNNNNNNNNNNNNNNNNNNNNNNNNNNNNNNNNNNNNNNNNNNNNNNNNNNNNNNNNNNNNNNNNNNNNNNNNNNNNNNNNNNNNNNNNNNNNNNNNNNNNNNNNNNNNNNNNNNNNNNNNNNNNNNNNNNNNNNNNNNNNNNNNNNNNNNNNNNNNNNNNNNNNNNNNNNNNNNNNNNNNNNNNNNNNNNNNNNNNNNNNNNNNNNNNNNNNNNNNNNNNNNNNNNNNNNNNNNNNNNNNNNNNNNNNNNNNNNNNNNNNNNNNNNNNNNNNNNNNNNNNNNNNNNNNNNNNNNNNNNNNNNNNNNNNNNNNNNNNNNNNNNNNNNNNNNNNNNNNNNNNNNNNNNNNNNNNNNNNNNNNNNNNNNNNNNNNNNNNNNNNNNNNNNNNNNNNNNNNNNNNNNNNNNNNNNNNNNNNNNNNNNNNNNNNNNNNNNNNNNNNNNNNNNNNNNNNNNNNNNNNNNNNNNNNNNNNNNNNNNNNNNNNNNNNNNNNNNNNNNNNNNNNNNNNNNNNNNNNNNNNNNNAUGACACUAAAAUAUUCAAUAAAAUAUAAUAAUGAAAUCAUCAUAUAAAAUGAAUAUUGCAAAGUCAUAAUGAAAAUGAUCAUAAUUUAGAAGUACUAAAUCAUGCUAAAAUAAGUUUAAUAAGUAUUAGUUACAUUACUAAAUAUUUAAGGAAAAUUAAAUUAGAUUAUGUAUUUUAAUUGUCUAAACCAAUGUAAAACUAAAGAACAAAUAUUCAAUAAUAUUGUCAUUCUUAGUGUUAAAUUCAUUUUCUUUAUGCAUUAGUAGUAAUUUGUUUUUUAUUUAAGUUUUAUUAUAAUUAUCAACAUCUAUGAACUAUAAUCUUUAUUGGACCAUUCCGAAUUGUAAGUUUUAAACUUGAAAUAAUAUAUUAAAAGAUAAAAACUAUGAAAUAGUAUAAGAAAUAUUUUAAAAUUAUAUCAAAGUAAAUAUUUUUAUGUAUAAAAUACAAUUUUAAAAUUACAUAUAUAAUGUCGGGUUGAUUUUUUUUAGUUAAAACCAAACCAACCCAAAUAUAGUCGGAUUGUUUUUCCCAAUACCUAACCAAGUCAAACCAAACCACUAGUCGGUUUUUUUCCGAUUUGACUCGGUUUACGGUUUGGUUCGGUUUUCGGUUCGAUUUUGUACACCCCUAACUCCAACUAUUGCGCUUGACAUUUGAUCCACUUCUCAACAAUAACUAAAUAACACUAAGUACUCUAUUGUCUCAUAAUUUUUUUAUUGUUAAAUGCGAAAUGGACAUCUAAUUUAAAACGAACUCAAUGAAAAAAGAAAAAUAAUUCCUCCCCAACUUCAUCUUGUAAUCAUAGGUUAUUCGGAUGGUUGUUACUUAUUAUGUUUGUUACUGAGAUAUAGUAUUUAUUUUGAUUGUUACUUAAGCCUAUUUUAUCUUUUACUGUUCGGAUAAUUAUUACUUAUUGUAUUCCUUAUUUAGGUAUAUAUAAUAUUUUUUUUGAUUUUUUAAUUUUUUAUAUUAUAUUGUGAACUGUGAUAAUACCAUACUUUUAUUCUCUUUUUCAAUGUACUGUGCAUAUUAUUGUUUUGAAUUUUUGUCCUUUUGUCUUUGUGGGUAAAUUUUUUACUUUUAUUGAGGAAAUAUUUCAUGGAGAGUAUCAUGCUUUUAUGUGUGGAUUGAUAUGGUGUGGACAUUUUUUUCUCACGUUAUGAAACAACAUUACAUUUUAAAAUAUAGGGAAAAGUGUCUGAUAUACCCGUUAUACAAAUGGUUCACAUAUGUCCUUAUCGUUAUAAAAGGAGCUCACAUAUACCCUUCAUCUAACGGAAGUGAAAAUAUUAGUUUGAAAUUUAUUUUCUUUACUUUAAAUUUUAGAAAAAUUCAUGUAGGGGUAUAUAUAUGAUCCUUCUAACAAAGUUCAAGGUAUAUUUUAAUAUUUUUCAUACAAAAAUUAUCUUUUAACUUCUUUGAUUAUCAUUAUUCGAGUUUCUUAUUCUUUUUUCCAUUCACCUUUAUUAAUCUGUCUCCCUCUGUUGGUGGUCUUACAGUAGCAAUAAACGUACAAUUUUCUUGAGCAUCAAAUUUCCUUGUGCUUUACUUCGCUUGCGUUUACUUUAGUUGUUUUAGACGGAAGAUACUUUUGGAGCUGAGGACAUUACAACAAAAAUAACUUUAAGCAGAGAUAAAUAUAAACAUUAACAAAAUAUGCUAAAACCUUUAUCGUCAUUAGUUAAUUGCCUUUGGAUCCAAUGACGGUAUAGACUUUAGGGACAUUUACAAAAAGUGCCGAUUGCCUCUAAAAAACAUAUUUAACAACAAUUAAGCUAUUACCGUUAAUUAUUUACCACUAAAAAAUCAUUUUUGGUGUGGUGAAAUUAUCUCUCGGAGACAUACAUCGACGCACCAAAUUGCUCGAAUUCUUGCACUCUUUCUUUAUUUAGCUUUACUCAUUCAACAUACUAUCUUGUAGGGGUGUACAUGGUCGGGUUGGUUUGGGUUUUUCAAAUUUCAAACCAAACCAAUAAAACUCGGAUUUUUCAACCUCGGGUUUUUUCGGUUUUUUGGGUUGUUUCGGGUUUUUCCGGUAAAGUAUUCAUACAAACAUAUAAUUUACUUGUACUUCAAAUAUUUCUUUAGUCCUACCAAAAUACAACUAUCUAAGAUGUUUCUUAAAAAUAUAACACAAUAUGAUAUGAUUAAUGACACUAAAAUAUCCAACAAAAAUAAUAAUAAUGAAAUCGCGUAAAACAAAUAUUACAAAUUAUUAUGUCAUAAUGAAAAUGAUCAUAAUUUAGAAGUACUAAAUCAUGCUAAAAUAAGUUUAAUAAGUAUUAGUUACAUGACUAAAUAUUAAAGGAAAUUAAAAUUAGAUUAUGUAUUUUAAUUGUCUAAACCAAUGUAAACUAAAGAACAAAUAUUCAAUAUUAUUGUCAUUCUUAGUGUUGAAUUUUUAUUUUUUUUUGCAUUAGUAUUAAUUUGAUUUUGAUUUAAGUUUUAUUAUAAUUAUCAACAUCUAUGAACUAAAAUCGUUAUUGGACCAUUCCGAAUUGUAAGUUUUAAACUUGAAAUAAUAUAUUAAAAGAUAAAAACUAUGAAAUAGUAUAAAAAAUAUUUUAAAAAUUAUAUCAAAGUAAAUAUUUUUAUGUAUAAAAUACAAUUUUAAAAUUACAUAUAUAAUGUCGGGUUGGUUUUUUUUAGUUAAAACCAAACCAACCCAAAUAUAGUCGGAUUUUUUUUCCAAUACCUAACCAAGUCAAACCAAACCACUAGUCGGGUUUUUUUUUUCCGGUUUGAUUCGGUUUACGGUUUGGUUCGGUUUUGGAUUCGAUUUUGUACACCCCUAACUCCAACUAUUGCGCUUGACAUUGAUCCACUUCUCAACAAUAACUAAAUAACACUAAGUACUCUAUUGUCUCAUAAAUUUUGAUUGUUAAAUGCGAAAUGGACAUCUAAUUUAAAACAAACUCAAUGAAAAUAGAAAAAUAAUUCCUCCCCAACUUCAUCUUGUAAUCACAGGUUAUUCGGAUGAUUGUUACUUAUUAUGUUUGUUAUUGAGAUAUAGUAUUUAUUUUGAUUGUUGUUUAAGCCUAUUUUAUCUUUUACUGUUCGGAUAAUUAUUACUUAUUGUAUUCCUUAUUUAGGUAUAUAUAAUAUUUGUUUUGAUUUUUUUUUUAAUAUUAUAUUGUGAACUGUGAUAAUACCAUACUUUUAUUCUCUUUUUCAAUGUACUGUGCAUAUUAUUGUUUUAAAUUUUUGUCCUUUUGUCUUUGUGGGUAAAUUUUUUACUUAUAUUGAGGAAAUAUUUCAUGGAGAGUAUCAUGCUUUUAUGUGUGGAUUGAUAUGGUGUGGACAUUUUUUUCUCACGUUAUGAAACAACAUUACAUUUUAAAAUAUAGGGAAAAGUGUCUGAUAUACCAGUUAUACAAAUGAUUCACAUAUGUCCUUAUCGUUAUAAAAGGAGCUCACAUAUACCCUUCAUCUAACGGAAGUGAAAAUAUUAGUUUGAAAUUUAUUUUCUUUACUUUAAAUUUUAGAAAAAUUCAUGUAGGCGUAUAUAUAUGAUCCUUCUAACAAAGUUCAAAGUAUAUUUUAAUAUUUUUCAUACAAAAAUUAUUUUUUAACUUCUUUGAUUAUCAUUAUUCGAGUUUCUUAAUCUUUUUUCCAUUCACCUUUAUUAAUCUAUUAAAAAAUGUUUAACAACCAAUUUACUUUAAUUUAAAGUAAAAUUACACUUAAAUUGAUUAUCAUUAUUCGAGUUUCUUAUUCUUUCUUUUUUUAAUUUCAUUCUUUAGUGUAAAGAAAAAAUUUAAAACUAUUUUUUUGUGGCUAUAUUAUAAUUUAGUUUUUUUAUUUGUAAAAAUAAAAUUAGAAAACGGGGCAUCUAUAAUAAAUUUUACAAAAAAAUUAGUGAAACAUAAAUAAAUUUGACCAUCAAAAUAAUAAAUUUAAAUUAGUCGUUAAAACAAAAAAGUAAAAAAAAAAUACGUGUGAGGAGAAUCAAAUAUACCUCAUAUGGAUUAUUUUUUUUUCAAAAAAGUAAUUAAAAGAUUAAAUUAAAAUUAAUUUGUUCACUUCUGUUAGAGGAAAAGGGUAUAUGUGAGUCAUUUGUAUAACAAUAGGAGUAUCUAUGAGUCACUUUCAUAACAAGGGGAAUAUCAACUCUAAAUGACAAAGUUGAGGGGUAUAUCAACUCUAAAUAACAAAGUUGAGGGGUAUAUCAGCUCUAAGGGUGUGUUUGGUAUGAAGGAAACCGGAAAAUGUUUUCCAAUUUUCUCAUGUUUGGUUGGGUUUAAAUGUUUUGGAAUUUUUUUUCCAAAUCAACUUAUCUUCCUCAAAUUUAAGGAAAAUGACUUCCCUUCAAAACUUAAGGAAAACGUUUUCCAAAACUCUCUUCCAAAAAAAUUUAAAGCUUAUUUUUUAAAAAUGUUCUUAACUUCAUUUUUUUUAUCCCACCCUCACCCUUACCCCCACCCCCUACCAUCCCCCUCCAAANNNNNNNNNNNNNNNNNNNNNNNNNNNNNNNNNNNNNNNNNNNNNNNNNNNNNNNNNNNNNNNNNNNNNNNNNNNNNNNNNNNNNNNNNNNNNNNNNNNNNNNNNNNNNNNNNNNNNNNNNNNNNNNNNNNNNNNNNNNGCCAGCCCCCACCCCCAAAAAAAUGCGUUUGUUUUUAAAAAAUAUUUUCAAAUUUACAACGUUUACAUGGUGCGAUGUAUUUUUCUUUUUCUUUUUUUUGUAUUUUCCUUUAAAAUUGUUCAUUUUUGAAGAUCUUAGAAAAAGAAGAUAAAAAGACAGAUAACAUCUCAUAUUUACAUUUUCUAGAUGUAUAAAUUGUCAUUUUCCCUUUUUCUCUUUAUUUUUCCUAAGAAAUGUUCUUUCUAAUUCAAACACAAUUAUAUACAUUGAUUUCAGUCAAACAUAUUUAUAUAUUUUUUUAAAAGAAUGAAUAAUGUCAAAAGACGUACUGGUAAAGAUUAACUUUUUUAUGAUACUAAAACUGAGAAGGUCUUAAAGAUUUUACAAAUUCAAAUUCUUAUUCAUGUAACUGCCCCAUUUACUCAUAAAUAAUUACACCUUAAAUAUUUUAUGUAACGCGUUGUCAUUAAUCCUCAAGACUCAAAUACAUUCUUUAUUAUUCUUAGUUUUUGGUGUUUCUUUCUUUCUAUUUUGGUAAAUAAUUUCUCAUUAACUUAUUAGUUUUAGAUUUAUUGUUUUUUCGCAGGUUACACAUAGGUACAACACUGAAAUAUUAUUUGUAUUAAUCUUUUUCUCCUUUUUUUAAAUUUAUUUAUGGGAAAAGACAUAAAAUCCCCCCUGAACUUCGCACGAAAACUUACUUUAGUACUUAAACUACACGGGUGUUUAUAUACCCCCCUAAUUUAAUUUGAAUUGAAUUUAAUUAUCCCUUAAAGAGUGACGUGGAAAAAUUUGUAUCACCAACUUUUCAUAAGCGCGUGAGAAAGGAAAAGACACAAAAAAAUUGACACAUGACAUCUUUUUAUUGGACAACCUACUUAAUAACUUAUUUUACUAAUUUUUAAAUAUUUUAUUUUGAAUUAAUUUUUCUCUCUCUAUAUUUCUUUUUCUGCAUCUUCUUCUUCUAUUUUUUUUCUCUUCUCAUAACUCUUUCUCUUUUUUAUUCUUUUCAUUUAGUUCAAGUAAACAUUUACUUCUAAAUAUAACUUCUUCCACAUUUCUUCUUUUUCUUUUCUUUUCUAUUUUUAAUCGUUUCUUUCUUCUUCUUUUUACAAAUUUUUUGGUGUUUGAUUCACCCACCAUUUUUGACAUCAAAGAAGAUUAUUAGAUCUAUCAGUUUAAAGCGUUAUCAGAAUGAAGUUGACUUCUAUUAAAAAAAAUCGGAGAUAUUGUUGGCAAAAGAUUAACUACGGAGAUUUCGCCCAAUUCGUAAAUAAUUUUUCAUCUUUAUGCAAAUAAUUUUUUAAAUUUUUGAGGAAGGUGGUAUCGUAUAACUAAACUAAAAAUGCAAUUGAAAUUUGAAUUAUAGUUUGUAUAUUGAGGAGUAAAUUCAUUGAUGGGUUUAAUUUUUGGCUCAAUAUUUUUAAAAAAACAAUUAUUAUGGAGAUUUAAGCAAUUAAUUAGGAAUUUUGUUAAUGUGCACAUGGACGAAUGAAAACGUGUGUGACUCAACAACACUCAGCAACUGGGCCGGUGAUGGGAGGGUUGAAAAAAUCACUUAAAAGAUGUUAAGGGGGGUAUAUAAACACCCGUGUAGUUUAAGUACUAAAGUAAGUUUUCGUGCCAAGUUCAGGGUUUUUUUUUAAUGUAUUUUCCCUUUAUUUAUUAUUAUUAUUAUUAUUUUAUUUUAAAUAUUCAUCUUUAUAACUCAUAUCUAAUUAUUUAUUCAAUUGUUUCUCUUAAUAUUUAUAACUCUCAUGAUUUUCAUAUUAAUAACCUCCAGCGGUUUAAGGUAUCUUUUGAUAUUCCUCUUUUUUUUAUCUAUAUAAUUCAUUUUUUGUGUUUCUUACCCAAGAUCAUUUUUUUCAUUUUGUAGCUAUAGUAGUACUAAAGCGCUUAUCAAUUGUAUUAUUUGAUUCAUGCUUAGUUUGACUUGAUGAACAAGACUCUUGAAUUUUGAUUGGUUGUAAAAAAAUGAGUCGACAAGAACUCGAAAAAUUAUGUACUAAUUAUAUAUAUAUAUUUUCCAUCUAUAUUGUUAUGAUUAAAGACUUGUGUAUAUUGUAUUUUUUUUUCUCUCCAUAAAUUAUUCUCUCAAUCUUUUUUUUUUUUUUUUUUUUUUUUUUAAAGUAAAUUUUGGUCCAAGGACCUUUUUAUUCAUUAGAUAAAGAAUGCCAAAACAUAAUAGGACCAGGCUAAAUGAGACCAAUUCUCAAAGCAAAAAAGGAAAGACAAAAAUCUGAUCUUUGUUGACCUUCCGUCUUCUCUACCUAACCUCCGAUUCCUCAAGCUAAUGUUGCCCGUGUGCUGUCGCUGGAGUUCCGAGCUGAAGGACCUGAUGGAUUUUCUCUGGUGACCUCCGCAAGGUACUUUUUCUCUUCUUCUUAGAUGAUCCCAAGGUUGGACCUCCGAUACUUGUGCGCACUUGAAUCUCCUCAUAAAGCUCGCUCUUGCUCUCAGUGUGGACCAACUCUUGAUGGCAGUGUGUUGUAGAUUUAGCUGAAUUAUGUCUAAGAUUCGAUUGCAUAUGCCAUAAAUGUUGUAUCUGUGUAGUUUAAGCCGUUGCCACUCCUUUACCAGCUUGUAUAACUAGUGACCACUCCAUCUUUUUGUUGUAUAUACCUUAUACCCUUUUCUCCUAUUUUGUCUUAUUGUUGAUUGAUUUUGCGAGUCUUUAUGCGAAGCACUGGUAUUUUUGCUUUUUCUGUGUUUAGGACUUGUCUUGCUCUAACUGGAAGUUCAUGAAAAUUGUGGUAUUCAUGACUUGUUUGGCUUUCUAUUGAUAUGUUAGCUAUGCAAUCUGCCAAACCAUUACUUUCUCUGUAUGUGUGUGUGAUUGUGGAACCUGUUAAAAGUAUGAUGUCUCUGAUUUCCUCUAUUCUCUCCACCAAUUCUCAAGGUACUUUCCACUCCUGCUGAAUGAUUUUUUUAAGACUGAGUGAAUCAAUCUCAAUUAAAACAUCAUAUAGUUCCCUUUCUUUGCAAUUUCUUAUGGCAUCUAGAAUUGCUAAACAUUCCGCCUCCAUGUUUGUAGCAAUUCCUAUUCCUCUUGACUUUGCAAAUAGUAAAUCUUCUUUGCUAUCUCUUAGACAAUAACCAAAAGAACUCAAACAUGGAUUACCUCUGCUGGCUCCAUCAGUGUUGCAUUUUAUUCUCGUAAUGUCAGGAGACUUCCAGGUAACACUGAUGUAGUGUAGCUUUGGUUUAUAGCACUCAAUUCUGAUGAUUAUUUCUAGCCACGACCAUUCUAUUCUUUUUAUCCAUGGAUACUUCUGCUUUAUUAGUUGUCUCACAACUCCAACUACUUGGUUCACCAUCUCCUCAUAGCUGAUGUUACUUCCAUGUUUGAUUACAUUUCUCCUUUUCCAUAUAGUCCAUAGAAUGAUGGCUGGUAUGGCUCUGUAAACUUCUGGUAGCUUUGGUGAUGCCUUUUGUUUCCACCAGGCUAUUUUAAGAUGUUGCAGUAGCAUUCCCUCCAUUUUUAUUCCUGCACAAUUAGCAAAGUGCCUCCAUAACUUAUUUGCUAUGUGGGCUGUUAGAAAUAAAUGGGUCAUUGUUUCCUCUUUUUUGUUGUGACAACACCAACAUCUUGAUACUAUGUUAAUCUUCAUCUUUUUAGGAUUGUCAUCUGUUGCAAUUUUUCUCUUCCACACCUUCCACAUAAAGAAGAUGAAUUUAAAGGGGAGAUUUUUCUUCCAGAGCCACUCACCGUCUCUUCUUAUCUCCUGCUUGUUUCUCAUUAAAUUCCAAGCUGACUUUACUGUAAACUUCCCCUGUGUGUUGCCCAUAUACCAGGCUACAUCAUUGCCAGACUGUGUAGUUGGGGUGUUUAGGCUAUCCAUGAUGUGAUCAGUCAUUUCAAUGGAUAAUUUCUCCAAUAACAGUUGUCUAUUCCACCUUCCAUCUGAAAUAAAUUCCCUCACUUCAAUCUCUUCCUCCACUGCAUCUUCCUCCAAAUAGUACAGGGCCCCUAACUUGGUCCAAUUAUCAAACCAAAAGCUAGAAGAUCCUGACUUAAUCUGCCACCAUAUUUCCUGCUCCACCUCUUCUCUAAUGAGAACCAUUUUCCUCCAUACAUGUGAUGCCCCCAAACCUUGAGCAAUGAUAGGAUGAUGCUUCUUACAAUAUUUAUUCCACAUAUAUAAGGCCCAUAAUGAUGAGGUUGCAGUUCUGAAGUUCCACCAGAGCUUGGAAAAUAGAGCCUUAGCUACAUCAUGUAAUGAUCUCAGACCCAAACCCUCUUCCUCCUUUGGAUUACACAUUUUGUCCCAUGCCACCCAAUGUUUGUUUUUUGAUUCAGUUGUGUUACCCAGAAAAACUUGGCAAAUAUCCUAUGCAACUGAUUUAUGACUCCAACAGGUGGGUUCAUGGCUGACAACAUGUACAUAUGAACUGAUUAUAGAACAUGAGCUAUUAAUAUAUUCCUUCCUCCAAAAGAUUAGAAUCUAUUCUGCCAUAAGUUGAUCCUUUUCAUGACCUUUUUAAUCAAUUCUUCAAAAUGUUUUCUAUUUUCAUUCCAUAGAAAAUAGGGCAACCUAAGUCUGUGAAUGGAAAGGAGCCUUGCUUUAUUCAUGUGAUCCUCUUGAUCUGGUUACAAACACUAAUGUGAACCUUCUCAUGCAAAUACACCAAACUUUUGUCCAGAUUAAUCAUUUACCCUGAAACUGCUGCAUACUUCCUCAACACCUUCAUCAUCUUCUUCAUAGAGGUAGGCUGUCCAAAACAGAAAAGGAUGGUAUCAUCUGCAUAAGAUAGAUGAUUAAUUUCAGGACUCCAUUUUGGCAUGCCAUACCCUUUAAACUCUGGAUCUUUAAAUAAUUUGUUGAGGCUCCUAGCUAGUACUUCAUCAACUGUGAUGAAUUAAGUGGGUGAUAAAGGAUCACUUUGUUUAGAGGACCGAAAGAAACCAAACUUCUGUCCAUUCGUUAUCACCGAGUACCAGUUAUUGGAAAUCAAUUUUACCACCAUAUCUAUAAUUCUUUCUGAGAAACCAAAUUGACUAAGUACUCUCAUCAAGUACCUCCAGGAUACCCUAUCAUAUGAUUUUGCCAUAUCCAAUUUCACCACCACAUUAUGCAAUUUGUUCCUCCUAUUAAUAUCCCUCACAAUCUCCUGAGCCAGUAGGACAUUUUUUGUUAUACUCCUCCCUUUCAUGAAUCCUGACUGGUUCUUUGAUAUAAUAGCUGGUAGAACUGGCACCAACCUUUCAUGGAGCAUUCUUGAAAUAAUUUUGUUGGUGAAAGUGCUAAGACUAAUUGGCCUUAAAUCCCCAAAAUUAUUCACUAUCUCAUUUUUGGGAAUUAAGAACAUAUUUGUGUGUGUUAUGAACCUUGGCAUCUUCAUACCACAAUAAAAUGCUUUUACCAUGUUAAUGAUGGCAUGUUUCACAUAUUUCCAACAACUCUAGAAAAAGAGUCCAGAGUAUCCAUCCGGCCACUUGCACCGUCCCCAUUUAGAGCAAAUACCACAGUUUUAACCUCCUCUUCUGUUGGUAGUCUUUCCAUCUCUUCAUUUUACUCCCUGGAAAAUAACUUUGGAAUAUUUUCCAACAUGGUGUAGUCUAUGGGUUCAUUGGUUUCUAUGAACUGUUCCCUAAACACAUUGACUGCCUCCUCCCCAAUGUUUUGUGUGGAGGUAAUUUUAUCUCCCUGCAUUGUCUAUAUAGAUGAAAUCUGUAGCUUUCUUAUUUUAUCCUAUACAUAGGCAUGAAAGAAUUUUGUGUUCCUGUCUCCAUUCUGAAACCACCUCAUUCCAACCUUCUGCUUCCAGUAUUCCUCCUCUAUGUAUGUACCUUUUCAAGUUAGCUUCAGCCUUUUUUAAACCAGUCCUAUUUUCUGUGGCUGUAUUAAUUUCAAGCUGAGCUUCUUUUGCUUUUAUCAUAUCUUCUAAUGUGGCCACCUGUUGGAAUAUAUUCCCAAAAGUUGACUGGCUCCAUGGUACCAAUACCCCCUUUAAUCUCUUGAGCUUCUGUUGAACAAUUGAAAAAGGUGAACCAUGUGCCUCUUUCUUCCAACUCUCCUCCACCACUUUAACAAACUCAUUGUUCUUGACCCAGAAUUCAAGAAUCUGAAUGGUUUGUUGAUCUGCUCCUGUACAUUGUUGCAACUCACAUGUAAAGGGGCAUGGUCAGACUUUUCCCUUAUCAAGUAAUGGACCUCACUUCUUUGGGGGGUAUUCAUGAAUUCAUUAUUUCCAAAAACUCUGUCAAGUUUUUUGAAAAUGCAUUCCUUCUCAAUUCUUCCAUUUCACCAAGUGUAACAGCUUCAUGUAAACAUCAAUUCAUUCAGAGCACAUGUAUUUAUACACUGAAUAAUAUCAGUAGUUUCAUUUUGUAUAACAGGCAAACCACCCAACUUUUCAGAUUCAUGCAUAAUAGUGUUGAAAUCCCCUCCUACAAGACAUGGGCAUAUUAUGUUGUUAGCAAUGCCUUCAAGGUCCUCCCACAACUCUAAUCUUUCCAGAGCAUUACAUCUAGCAUAUACUGCAGUUAUCUUGACUACAUUCUGAUUCCCUUUGUGUUUGAAACUAAUAGUUAAUUGUUGUACUGAGUCCACUGUAUGUUGUUCCUCCCAAUCCUCAUCCCAGAAAACCCUGCUUUUAGCUGAGCAAUUAUCUUUAACAUGUUGUUUGCCAAGUCUUCUUCUAUAACUUUCUAUCUCUGUUGGGCUUUGAAAAGGCUCUAAUAAAGCUAUAAAUGAGUAAUGAUUUUUCCUGUUAAGAUCAAGUAGUCUCUCAAAAGCAUUUUGAGAUUUUACUGACCUUAUGUUCCAGAAAAGUAAUUGUUAAUCAUUGAUCACUGGAGGAUGAUGUUCCCUUCCUGCUCCUUGUAUUUAUUUGUAGAGGCACAAUGUUGUUGUAAUUCUAAUUGUGCCUACCUUUUAGUUGUGUUAUUUGUCUAGGUGACAAAUCCCCCUCUUUUCCAAUUUGUUCUAUGGAGGCCUCCAGAUCAUCUUCUUCCUCUUCAUCUUGCUUUUUAUUCACUUUUGUAGGCUACAUCUUGUCUAUUCUGGGAGUUUGUUCCUCUAGUGUACCUCUCAUCCUUAUGAUGUUCUUUAUCAUGUACAUUGGUGUUCUUAUCUUUGUUCUCAAUAAUAAUUUCCUUUGCAGUGUGGUCAGUGUAGUUUGCCUCCCUCAUUGUUUCACUGAUAAUAGUUUCUAUAUGUGAACUUUUUGCAUUGGAGAUUUCCUUGGGUGAUUUCAUUUUCUUUGGAUCACUACUGUUUUGGCCACUUGAAGGUGUAAUUACUUUAUCUUUUUGGUUGGACUUUGAACUUGUGCUUCAUAUCUCUUUAUCAUGUCUGUUUUGUUCAUCAGCCUUUUGAAGUGGUAAACUAUUGUGUUGUCCCAUCAGCCCUUGUUGUGAACUUGGCUCAUUGUUUUCUUGUGUUUCAACAAUUUCUCUCAUAUCCCCUAAUGCUUCAAAUUUGUUUGUUGUUGUCACUUGUUGGGGCUCAUUAUUUUCUUUUCUCCUUGGAUUCCAUAUCUGUUCAGGUUUGUCUUUUGAUAGAAACCUUCCUCUUUUGUGCGCUGUUCUUCUCCCUUGCUCCUUGAACUCAAUAGCAGUAUCCCUAUUCUCCUUUUGUUCAGUAGUAACUCUAUUUUUUUGGAUAUCUUUGCUUGUGUUAUGUUUUUCCUUAUCUCCAUCCACCUUAAUUUCCUCCUUUCGAUAUAGCUCUGGAUGAAGAAUGAAACAUUCUUCCUCAUUAUGCCCCUGCAGCUUGCAUGUCUUACAAUAUUUUGGUACAUAGUCAUACUUUAUAUUCACCCAUCUCUCAAGUACCUCCCCUGAUUUCUUCCUCAUUCCCACGUUAAUUCGUUUUGGGAAUUUCCAAGCAGAUCCACUACACCUUCACUCUAGCACAACUGGGAUGUGUCUUAUUCAGAGUUGUCAUAUCAACUUGUAAUGGCUUUCCUACUGCUGCCGCCAUUGAAAAAAUAGGUUUUGCGCAAAAAAAAAUUGAUGGAAUUGCAGGGAAAGAGAUCCAAGCGAUUGCAGAAGUAGUUUCUUCUUCUGGAUUAAACUUAGGUUCCCAUUUCAAAGUCCUCAUAGGGUACGACUAGUAAUUAUGAGUGAUGUUAAAUUGAGGCUUUGAUAGUAAAGUCACAUAGUCCUCCAGCAGUGAGGCCCUAAUCAAUAUGUAUUUAUUGCUAAGUAAUCCAAUGUUAACUUCUCCUUUGAGCUCACAUUGUUUUGCUAUAAGUCGUCUCAGAUCUUGUAUAUCAGGCCAACCAUAUGAGAAUUUCCCGACCACAGCAUAUUGAAGUUUCUCAUUGAUAAUCAUUUGCUCUACUUCCUCCUCUUCCCAUACUAUCUUUGGUUCCCCAUGCAGGCACGUGAUUGGCUUUAGAGGUAAAGGUUUGGACUUUUGGGCUUGUGUGACUAAAGUAUUUGCAUAAGUAGGUUUGUUAUGAUCGUUAAACAUAGUUGGAAGGCAGGCCUCCAUCGAUGGAGGCUGGCCGAUGGCCAUCGUGGCCAUGUCGACGGUGAAUUGUUAGGCAAAAUAUUAGGUUUUAGGCUUCUAGGUCGGCGGAAGUUCGAUCAAAUCUUUUUAAGAAAAGUUAGAUGUUGCUCAAUCUUUUCUUUCUACAAUUGUUGAUAUAGAUUUUUUUUCUUCAGCAUAAUAACUCUUCUUUUGUUUCUCCAAACUAUACAGGUGAGCAACUCUAAAAGUUGGCAAAUCAAUUUUGGAAUAAAUAGUUGAAUCACGUAAUUUUCUUAUUCCUUGUUACAUUGAUAAAUACUUUAUUGGGGGUUCUUUUCGUUAAUAGCAUGGAUUGAACCUUCCCUCCGCAGUAACAUCAUCAUCUGGAUCUUUUAAAUAUUAAAGUUGUUACGCCCACUAAAUCUAUCAACUUCAAAUUUCAUGAAACUCAUCAUUACUUUUUUUCCUCUUCUAUUACAAAGUAUUUAGAAAUACAGAAAAACCAAAGUAAUUUGUUUUCUGAUGUGGAAGUUCAAAUUGUGCUACAACCACAGAGCAUACUCAGACAUAACCUUGGCUUUGAUACCAAUUGUUAGCGAAAACAUAAAAAUAAAGAACAAGGAAGAUCAAUAAUAUUAACAUGGUUUGGAUCAGAAUGAUCCUAUGUCUACCCGAGAACAACUGCACCAAUAUUUAUUUCACUACAAAAUAAUAUAAGUGAAAUACUACAAGAGAGAAAGAAGAUCAAAUGUCUUAGAAGAUGAGAAGGCAAGUGAGAGGUUUUUUACAAAUGAAUUAAGAGCUACCUAUUUAUAGGAGUGAAUUUUUCCUACUGAUGUCAUCCAUGACAUCACUGUGUGUCAAAAUGCCAAAGUUUUUUAACAUGUGAAAUCAUUUUAUAAUUUACCUAAAUUUCAGCUACAAAGUUACUAUCUUCCUACCAAAUCUUCAAAUUAAUUCAUCGUUGAAUCUUAACAAUUUCUAGUCAAGUAAAUUGGCACAUGAAAUUUUCAUCCAUUGGAUUUGACCCCAAAAGGACCAAACCAACUCUUUCAACACCUUAUCAAAUUAAUAGAAGACAAGCAAGAAAAAAAAUCCUCCCAGGCACGGUUACCAAGACAAACUUUUAGAGGUCCCUUCUGGGCCCUAGAAGCCCCCUCUCCGGCAAUCUUCUAUUGCCGGAAUCCCUUUCCACCUUCUUUCUUCUAAACACUUUCUUUCAUUCUCCCUUUCUUUCAGAACACCCACCAUGGCAGAUGAUACCAUCUACUUCGCGGUGGGUUUCAAAUCCUACGACAUCACAAGGGUAGUCUCCAAAGCAGAAACUUGGUAUGAUUGGGUAGAGAGAGGGCGAAAUAGGGUGACAAGAAUGACUGUGAGCCAGAAGACAAUGGAGUGGCUUGUCUAUGCCCUUAAGGAAGCUUCGAAGGUCCAAGGCAACUCUGUCCGUAGAUGGAAGGUAUGGGAUCACUCCACAGAAUUUUUCUGCUCAAAGAAUUUCAAUAAAGAUGGAAGGUAUAUUAGUAUCAUAAAAACACAGGGGAAGAGGAGAGCCGUCAUCUUUAUUCCAGAGUGGUAUUUAAAUUCCGGUUGGAUGGACAUAUCAACUAAAAUAACCAGAUUCAUAAAUGCAAAGGCCCAAAAGAUAUCUAAGGUGGUUCACAGGAAAACAGAGGAGGGUUUAUUGUAUUCUGAUUCUGUCAGGAAUAAUAAAUGGACAACAAGAGAAAUAAAUGCUGCAAAGAUUCAACAAAAAGGGAACUCGAUUAUUAUCUCUGAGGUCACAACAAAGAGCCAGAACGAACUUCUAGAAAAAAGUGUGGUCGAAAGUCUCCCGGAGGAGAUCCCCAAUGUUACUCUGUCAGAGGUUCGUCGGUGGGUAGUGAGUUCAUGGAAACAUUAUCACGGCAUCAACAUAUAUGAGCUGGGUCACAACAGAUUUCUCUUUGAGUUCCCAAAUAAAACCGCUGCAGACCAUACUAUCAGUGGGGAAUGGUUCUGGAAAUCUCAUAAAUUUUCUCUGGAAUGGUGGUCGCCGACCUCAACCGCUACAUCUGAAAGGUUGAACCAAGUAUGGAUUAGGGUAGUGGGCAUAACCCUUCAACUUUGGUCCCAAAAAGUUUUCCGUGAGAUUAGAAACUUCUGUGGUGGUUGGAUACAAACUGAGGAAGAAACUGAGUUGCGAAAUCAUCUUAAAUGGGCGAGAUUGAAGAUAAGAGGAGAUGGAGACGAUGUUUCGAGUUUUGUAGAACUGGUACACGAAGGGUUGACCUUCAAAGUACAGAUAUGGGUAGAGGCGCCGGCGAGAAUUAUCUCCGACGAAGGCAGAGUAGUGCUUUUCAAGGACCAGCGGUCUACUGAAAGGACCAACCCUAAGGUGAAUGAAAAACUUUUAGGUUUUACAGAAGUGUCAGGUCACGUGGGGUCGUCCUAUGACCUUGCAAUUUCAAAAUUGUCAGCUAAUACCUCACGUGCAGGAACACAUGCUCCCGAGACUCAAUUUAAGUCUCCUUUUAAGAGAAAUAGGCUGGUGCACAAGGGGGGAAAGUUGGGCCCAGAUCUGCUGGCCCAAAGUAUUUUAAAGGAACAAACAAAAGAAAGUGGCCCAUCUUUUUUAAUUGAUCCGUUUACGGUAGAACUUGAAGCAAACAAUAUCUCCUCCACCGCAGUUUUUUAAAAUUGCCCAGAAGAACUAGAAACAGGGCAGAUACCAAGGAUGAAUAUCAUAGAGAAGAUUCAUGAGGAGAGAGAAGGGAGAGAGAUGAUAAAUAUGACCCCAGGAACUCCUAGAAACUCUACAGCCCUGGAUAAUAUUUGCACGCAAGAGUGUACACCAGAAAGGCUCGAGGAAAAUAAUUCCAGUCUGAUUUCCAUAGAAGAAGCAGUUCCCUUAAAUCAAAAGAAUCUGGAGGAAGAAGAUGAUCCAGAGUUUGACAUGCCGAUCUGGAUUCAUCAGAAUAUACUUAAGUUCGCCAAAGAUUUUGGAGUUGACAAUCAGGGAUGCAAAGAGGAAGCAACAAUGCUAUUUAUGAAGAUCGACAGUAUGAGGCAGAUCAACAAUGAUAAGGGGAAGGAAAUUGCUAAAUUGACUUCAGCAGUCAAAGGGGCAAAAGAACUGAAGAGCUUGGAAUGUGGCAGCAUUUUCAGAAGCAAUGGAACAAGAAGUAAGGGGGGGAUAUACCAUCUCAGGUGAUCAAUGAUAGUCAACAUCAUAUCAUGGAAUGUGAGGGGUUUGAACCAGGCGAGUAAAAGGUGUAUAAUCAAGAACUUAAUUCAUAGUUGGAAAGCUGACAUUUAUUGCUUUCAAGAGACGAAAAUUGAGGGAGAGAUUGGGAGCUUCGUGAAAGAUUUAUGGGCCAACAGAUGGGUUAAAUAUUGCCAACUGGAAGCCAGUGGAACUAGAGGUGGUAUUUUAAUUAUGUGGGAUGGGAGAGUGUGGUCAGGGGAAGUAAGCAGCCUAGGAUCUUACUCAAUUACAUGUAAGCUCAUUGGGAUAAACCAAGAUUUAAUUUGGUUUCUCACAGGCAUUUAUGCUCCAAAUAGUAGGGAAGAAAGAGAGGAAGUCUGGUGGGAAGUUGGCUCAGCUAGAGGUUUAUUUGAUGGCCCAUGGGUGGUUUGCGGAGAUUUUAACACAGUAAGAUUCCCAUCUGAAAAAAAAGAAUUGCUCCAGGAUAUCUAGAGCAAUGACAGAUCUAUCUGACUUUAUUGAAGACAUGGGAUUGUUGGAUCCCCACCUAGUAGGGGGCAAGUAUACUUGGAGGAAAGGGGACAGGCAUGACACAACAUCCAGAUUAGAUAGAUUUCUUUUGUCUGAUGAUUGGGAUGAAGUGUUCAGAAACAUCAAACAAACAUUAUUGCACAAGGUUACCUCUGACCAUAAUCCCAUAAUGCUUCAAAGUGGGAAUUGGAAACCUGUGAGGUCCUAUUUCAAAUUUGAAAAUUGGUGGCUACAGACAGAAGGUUUCCUGGAUAGAGUGAAGGAAUGGUGGAGCUCUAUAGUAUGUGAAGGGAGGCCAGACUUUAUCCUAGCUUUCAAACUGAAAGCUCUUAAGGAUAAGUUGAGGGAAUGGAGUAAAACAUCUCAAGGAAACUUAGCCUCUCAGAAACAGAGUGUUCUCAAUCAAAUUGCAGAAUUAGAAGAAGUGCAAGAUCAAAGAGCUCUUCAUGAAGAUGAGAUUAAACUGAAGGCUGAUCUCCUUAUAGAGUUUGAAAAUUUAGCAAAGUUUGAGGAGAUAUCUUGGCGACAAAGAUCUAGGGUUAAUUGGUUGAAGCAGGGGGAUAAGAAUACAAAGUUCUUUCACAAAACUGCUAACUCUCACCGGAGAUACAAUAACAUUGACGAAUUAAAUGUGGAUGGUGAAACAAUCAAAGAUCCAGAGUUAAUAAAAAAAGAAAUCAUAGAUUUCUACCAAAAGCUAUAUUCUGAAACUGAGACUUGGAGACCCUCUGGUGGCUGCAGGGAAGGGCACACAAUUUCUGAAGAAGACAAUAGGAUGCUACAGGGGGAAUUUGAGAACCAAGAGAUAUGGGAGUGUGUAAAGCUUUGUGCUGGAGACAAAGCUCCUGGUCCAGAUGGUUACACUAUGGCCUUCUAUGCCCACUGUUGGGAGGUUGUUGGAGAGGAAGUCAUUGCUGCAGUAAAAAAUUUCCAUGAGAGAUGUUUCUUUGAGAAAAGCUUCAACUCCACCUAUGUGGCAUUGAUCCCCAAAAAGAUGGGUGCAAAGAAACUCACAGAUUUUAGACCCAUUAGCUUAAUUGGCAGUGUGUAUAAAAUAAUCUCCAAGGUGCUUACUGAGAGGCUUAAAAAGGUUAUGCACAAGCUAGUGGACACACAACAACUUGCUUUCAUUAAAGGAAGACAGAUCAUGGAUGCUAUUUUGAUGGCUAAUGAAUGUGUGGAUUCUAGGAUUAGAAGCAAGGUGCCAGGCAUUUUAUGCAAGCUGGACAUUCAGAAAGCAUAUGACCAUCUUAACUGGAAUUUUUUGCUGGAGACCUUAUCCAAAAGAGGUUUUGGUGGUAAAUGGAUGAGAUGGAUAAAGUUUUGUAUCAGUACUGUGAAAUAUUCUGUUCUCAUCAAUGGCUCUCCUACAGGUUUCUUCUCUUCACAGAGAGGAUUAAGACAGGGAGACCCGCUGUCUCCUUUCUUAUUCAUUAUAGCUAUGGAGGGACUUAAUGAUAUAUUGAAGAUUGCUCAAGAGAAACUAUGGUUGAGGGGCUUCAGAGUAUCAAAUAGGGGGGGUUGUGACAUGGAGAUUACACACUUACAAUAUGCUGAUGAUACUCUUGUUUUCUGUGAUGCCAACAGAAACCAACUGAUGGUUCUCAGAGUUAUAUUCGUGCUAUUUGAAGCCAUAUCAGGACUACAUAUCAAUUGGGAAAAAAGCUUCCUAUACCCAGUGAAUGAGGUCACCAAUCUAACCUCUCUGGCUGGUACACUUGGGGGGAGGACUGGUGAAUUACCAACUGUAUAUUUGGGCAUGCCACUAGGAGCAGAAAGCAAGUCUUCAGGAAUCUGGAAUGAGGUGGUUGAGAAGUGUGAAAAAAGAUUGGUGAACUGGAAGAGUCAAUAUCUCUCCCUCGGCGGGAGACUCACUCUCAUCAAUAGUGUUCUCGACUCCAUGCCUACCUACAUGAUGUCUAUCUUUCCUAUCCCAGAUGGGGUCAUUAACAAACUUGAUGCAAUAAGGAGGAAUUUCCUAUGGGAAGGAAAUAGUGACACUAAGAAAUUCCACUUGGUUAAGUGGGAUAAAUUGAUUGGGAGCAAACAAAAAGGAGGUCUUGGGGUAAGGAAUUUGAAGAUUCAGAACCAAAGCCUUAUGAUGAAAUGGCUAUGGAGACUAGCAUCCAGUGAACAAGCACUAUGGAAAGAACUUAUCAAAUAGAAGUAUGAAAUANNNNNNNNNNNNNNNNNNNNNNNNNNNNNNNNNNNNNNNNNNNNNNNNNNNNNNNNNNNNNNNNNNNNNNNNNNNNNNNNNNNNNNNNNNNNNNNNNNNNNNNNNNNNNNNNNNNNNNNNNNNNNNNNNNNNNNNNNNNNNNNNNNNNNNNNNNNNNNNNNNNNNNNNNNNNNNNNNNNNNNNNNNNNNNNNNNNNNNNNNNNNNNNNNNNNNNNNNNNNNNNNNNNNNNNNNNNNNNNNNNNNNNNNNNNNNNNNNNNNNNNNNNNNNNNNNNNNNNNNNNNNNNNNNNNNNNNNNNNNNNNNNNNNNNNNNNNNNNNNNNNNNCUGGCUGGCCAUGGAAACUUAUCUGGAAAGUUAAAAUACCUCCUAAAGUGUCCUGCUUCACUUGGCUACUAGCAAAGCAGGCUGUUUUGACUCAGGAGAACCUCAUGAAAAGGGAAAUCCAACUGAGCCCCAGGUGUUUCCUGUGUGGAGAAGAGGCUGAAACAGUCAAUCACCUCUUUCUUCACUGUAGGAUCACUUAAUAUUUUGUGGAGCAUUUUCAUCAAUUCGAAGGACCUAUCUUGGGUGAUGCCAAGAAAUAUUGUCCAGGCCCUGAAGAUAUGGAGUAGCUUUGCCUACAUUUCUGGUCAUAAAGAAAGAUGGAAGAUCAUCCCCACCUGUAUCUGGUGGUCUGUGUGGAAAGAGAGGAACCUCAGAUGCUUCCAGAACAAAGUAACAGCAUCCAGAAGAUGAAGAUGAAUUGCUUGGUUUUAUUUCUAUUUUUUGGUGUAAACAGGAGUAUAUGGAAAAAUCUAGAAUCAGUAAUGAAUGCUUUAGGCACCUUGUUAAUUUUUGUUUAUUUAGGAUUGAAGAUCUUCCUGAUACUCUCCUUUUAUUUGUAAUUAGUAAACCUGUAACAAGUUGUGGCAGGUUUGAUUUUUUGGAAUAUAAUACAAGACUGUUACCUUCUAAAAAAAAAAAAAACACCUUAUCAAGGCAGUCAAAACAUUGCUUCAUCAAGCCAGUUUACCUACCAAUUUUUGGACAUUUGCCUGCCAUCAUGCUGCCUUUUUGAUCAACCGCCUACCAACCACCACACUUGAUAACAAAUCUCCCUUUGAAACUCUUUUUAAUGAAACACCAUCUUAUGCUUCUCUUCAUACGUUUUGGUUGUCUAUGUUACCCAUGGCUAUGACCAUAUGCCCAAAAUAAAUUAGAGUUGUAUUCAAAACCUUGUGUGAAUCUUGAUUUUUCUGUCGGUCAUCAUUGCCAUCAAUGUUUUAAACCUACAAGCUCCAAACUUUUUUCUCUCACAGGAUGUAAAUUUUUAGAAGAUACUUUCCCAUUUGCUAAUCUUUUCUCUUCCCUAAGGAACAUCAUUUAAAUAAUAAUCAUCCAGAUUUCACGAUGUUGUCCCCCACCAUCCCGUUGAUGCGAGAUACACGCCAAAUAUUUGCUUCAUUCGUGCCACACAGAGGACCAACCCACAGUUGGAUCAAUUCGCCGCUCACAAUCCAGGUAAUCCUCUUCAAACUACCCUAUCUCCUAAUAUGCAUGGCAAUACCAUGUUGUUUCUCCCCUACCAUCCCACUUAUAUUUCAAAUCUAAUCCCCAACCCCCUCUACUCGUUCUCUCUCCCCACAUAACUGACCACCAAUUACUUAUAUCUAUCAACGUCGCCCGAACUCAUCACCCAAUAUACAAACACAAUCCCUCCAUAGGUGCUAGCAGUAGCACUCUUAGUUUGCCUUCACCCACUGAACCCAUAGUUCUAGUUCCAAAAGCUGACCAAAACCAUGUAGUGACAAGGUUGCAAAACAAUAUCAUCAAUCGACACAAAAUUGUUGACUACACUACCCAAAUAAUCCAACAUGUACCUCUUAUACCGAUAAGCAACAAACAAGCACAUAAAUUUUCAUAUUGGAGAGAUGCUAUGCAGGUUGAUUUUGAUGCAUUGAUGAUGAACCAGACUUAGGAGUUGGUUCCAACAGACCAUACUCAAAAUGUUGUUCCCUGUAAGUGGUUGUUCCAUAUCAAAACUAAGCCUGAGGCUAUUUUGACAAGUAUAAAGCAUGUUAGGUUGUAAAAGAGUUCGCUCAAAGGCCUGGAGUUGAUUUUCACUCCAGUGUUUAAACCCGCCACAAUUCGCACUGUCAUCACUCUUGUUAUACCAAAAAAUUGGGCAUUACAUCAGAUCGAUGUCAAUAAUGCUUUUCUCCCGGGGAUGCUUCACGAAGACGUGUAUAUGACUCAACCCCCUGAAUAUGAAAAUUCAGUGCAUCCUAAUUAUGUCUGCCAUCUUAAAAGGGUUAUUUACGAUUUGCGCCAAGCUUCUAAAUCUUGGUAUGAUGCCCUCACCAAUUCUUGAGCCAAAUGGGGUUUCAAAUGUCAGGGUCUGAUAAUUCUCUAUUUGUUCUCCAUAAUUUGGGAGUAACUUUUUAUAUUCAGAAUUAUGUGGACGAUAGUAUACUCACGGGCAACUAUGAAACACUCAUUUAACAGGUUAUUACAUCUCUUUCCAAAAAAACUUCUCUCAAGUAUCUUGGUUUACUGCACUAUUUCUUAGGCAUUGAGGUACAUAAGGAUGUCAAUGGUCUGCUUCUUAGUCAAUCUAAAUACAUACAUGAUGUGCUACAUGACACUAAGAUGCAAAACUGCAAAGGGGUUUAGUCACCAAUGAGUCCGUCAGCACUACUUCUGGUAGAUGAUAAAGCUCCCAAAACUGAUGACAAAGAAUAUAGGAGCGUACUUGGUAAGCUUCAAUACCUUUUGCUUACCCGACCUGACAUCACAUAUGAGGUAAACAAGCUUACUUCAUCCAACACCUUUCCCUCUGUGGUUCACUAGAAGGUCGUUAAGCAUAUCCUUCGGUAUCUUAAAGUAGCAUCCCACUAUGGUGUGCUUAUAUCUCCACAACAUCUCUAUAUUUAUGCCUAUGUUAAUGUAGAUUGGGCUGGUGAUAUACCGUGAGUUUACAAUAUUUUUGAUAUAUUUCACUUAAGAGUUGUGUCUCUAGGGCCAUUUUGUAUUAGAAAUAAUGUUUUUGUUUUAUGUUUGCAGGAAAUAGGCUUUGGCGUGGUUGAGUGAGAUGACAGCUGAAAUUCUGCAGCAGUGGUCACCCUCGGCGGGACCUACGGACCAUAGGUCCUGUGAUGGUCCAUCGAUGGGUAGGCGUAGAUGGGAUUAUCAAGGAAGUCUGACCAAGUGUGGAACUACAAAGCGAUCCACGGACCUUAGGUCAACCUACGGGCCAUCCUGCACAUCCGUAGAAGGUGUUCAAAGGGUUGAAGUUCCACUACCUAAUGAAAAUCCUAAUUGCGGAGCCACGAAAGAGGACCCACGGACCGUAGGUUAACCUACGAUCUGUUAUGCACGUCCGGCGUUGAUGAACUGGGAGUUGAAGGUUCCAACCUUUGUGGAAAAGUUCUAAGUGUUAACCAACAGGGACCUACGGACCGUAGGUCGACCCACGGUCCGUAGGUCGAGUCGUCGUUCAAAGCCGCUUCCCAGAAGUUAUUUCCUUAUUUUGUUUCCUUUUUGUUUAGGACAUGUUUUUCUAUAAAUAGGGUAUGUAAACCUCAUUUUUUGAGGUUAGACAUUAUUGUUUACUUUUAGGUCUUGAUAUUUUAUUAGGAAUUAACUUGCAAACUUUGGCAAUUUGAUUUCUGGAUUUCGGUUUAUAAGAUUUUUGCUUUGAAAUUCACUUCGAGAUUAUGACUUUCUUCUACUCUAAACGUAAGUUCAUGAAUUCUUCUUAUCAAAACAUGAAUUGUAUUCUUUCAAGCAUGAGUAGCUAAAUCCACAACUAGGGUUGUGGGAACCAUGAGCAAUUAACAACGUAUGAAUAAUAACUAAGUAAUUCUUGAAUAGUGUUGAUGCCUGCAUUAGUAAUUAUUUCGCUUAGAAGUCUUUUUAAAGAGAGCACGCGUUAGAACUCGCCUUGUUUCUACUUGACGGACCAAUGAGGUAGUUAAUAAGAAAAGAAUUAUCAACAGAGAUUUAGUGUGAUACUAUCUAAUUGUCUAAUGUCAAUUGGUGCGAGGGUGAAAACUAAGCCAUAUAUUGAUGUGAUGGCUAAUCUAAGGUAAAGGUAAGGGUUAGUAAAUUAUACACACGUAGCCCAACCAAGAUGCGGAGUGAAAUUCCCUACUUGUAGGACCAAUCACUAUGGGAUACCUAUCUUACCAGCUUUGCAUGUAAAACACUUGGAAAUGAUUACUAUUAUUAGGAUUAUCGCGUUAUGAGAUUAUGGGGAACACAUACACCCUAGUUUCUCUCUCAUAUUGAUAACUCGAAGUUUGAAUCUUGCUCACUUGUUACUUAAACAACAAUCAGUUAUUCGUUUCACAAAUCCCCCCCCCCUUUUAUUUACUUUUCUCAAAAAUAACUUGGCUAAACGAAUAUAAUAAUGAGUUAAGUUUAAGUUUGAACCAUAUUCUUCGUGGGAUCGACCCCAACCUACAAGUUAGGUUCUUUAUUUAACGACGAUCGUUUAUACUUCUUUAGGGAAGUGUAAUUUGAGCGUAUCAAAUUUUGGAGCCGCUGCCAGGGAAUAAGGCAUUUGGAUUAACUUUAACUACAUUAUUGACCUUUAGUCAAUUAUUUUCUAAUUUUAUGUUUUCUUUUGUUUUUGUUUUCUACAGGUUUCUACUCUAGUGUAUGCCAAGUACACGGAGUCGAGGCGAACCAUUGACCCCAUACGAUCCUGAACUAAGCAAGAAUUUGCGAAGAAUAGAAAAUCAAGGGGGUAAUAAUAAUCCAGUCAUAGAGGUGCAUGAGGAUGGAGUGAAUAAUGAGAAUGCUCAGGUUCCUAGGGGUAAUCUACUCGGAGAUGCACUGAGCAUGCAGAAUCCACCAGAACCAAUGUUGCGUGAUAACUACAGGGUCGACUUCAACACCGUUGAAUCAGAAGGACCUAUUGUUCUCCCACCUCUACCUCCAGGGCAGACUGAUGCAAAUGCUUACAGUAAGAGAGUAAUUUUCAGUAUGGCUUCGGAAGAUCCGCAUGGGCACAUGGCAGAGUUGAGGAGUGUCUGCAAAAGUUGUGUGGGACGACCGGAGUUGGAUAUGAAUGUCAUAGGGUUUAGAGUCUGUCACGACCCGAGCCUACACCCCGGAUGUGACACAACAUACAAGACUCCGAAGAGCCUCAUACAAGCCUUAUAGCAUUCAUAACAUAAGACAUAAGAAAAUGGUGCAGAAUUAAAAACUUUUUAUCCAUACAAGCGAAGUCUUUAUUUAAAAGCAAAGCGGAAGUCUACUUGUCUCAUUUAGCCAUCUAAUACAAUCGAGUAUCAAGAAGGGUCACAACCCUUUACAACAUAGUCUCAAAAGAGAAUGUAAGAAGUAAACUAGAAAUAAGCAACUCUCAUCCUCGAACCAUGAGGAUUCACCAAAAGUGUGGAGAGAAUCAAUCUAAGCUUUGAACAAUAGAAGAGCACCUUAAAUACCGGAACCUACACUUUGUAGAAAAAUGUAGAAGAAAUAUGGGUUAGUACAAGAAUGCACUAAGUAUGAUAGCCAUGCAAAAAUCAUGCUAAAAAUGACAUUUUAGUUGAAAACCAUGCUAUAUGCCAAGUUUGAGAAACAUCAUGAACUUUAGUAUAAAGGCAUGAUUCACGAUCAUAUUCGUCAUGCAAACCAUUAUAACAUAAUAGAACCAUCUCUUAGGUAACCCCAAGUUAUACUUGUGCAGUGUAUGAAUGAAAUCCCAUAAUACCAUUCACACUAAGUACCCUUUGAGGCCACCAUAGACAAGGAACAUUCACAUUCAAUAAGUCAUAUCAAGGAAAGCAACUCAUUACCUCAAUACAAGUUAAGCAUUCAUCAUUACAUUUAGCCUUCAUGUCAAUAUUCUCAAUAGCAUCAUUAUAAGCAUAUUCAUUUCAUUAGACAUUAUGACAUUCGAGGAACACACCAUAACCACUCUCAAAGCCUACUCGUGCAAUGCAUGAAUGGAAUCCCAUACUACCACCCACACUUCAUAGAACUCUUUGAGUAACCAUAGUACAUAACUCACAUGAUGGGAAUAAGCCCUAACCGACAUAGACCAUGUGAGCAAAUCAUGGAAUCAUGUGUCAUAUCCCACACCAAAAAGAGUUGGUCUACUUGCCUAAGGUAGAACCGAUAAUUUAGCUUAGGUGUAUCCACUAGGUAAUAACCUAUGCGGGCACAUAGUUAUGUGAUAUGAAGGUUGUUACUAGAAACCCGACCUAACAUGGGGAGAGCUUCAACCUCACAAUAUCCACUCGGUGCUAAGCAUUACAUUCCCAUAGAGUAGUUCAUUCUUUUUUAACAUUAUAACACAUGAGAGGAAUGCCAUUGGCCUAUCGACUCAAGAUACAUUAUUACACAUAAAAUAAAUGCCAUUGGCCUAUCGAUUUAAGGUACAUUAGGAUAACUCAUUGAAUCCUCAUGAGAGGGAAUGCCAUUGGCCUAUCGAUUCAAGAUUCAUCAUUACAAUAGUUCAUUGACUCAUUAUGAAAGGAAUUCCAUUGGCCUAUCGAUUCAAAUCAAAGCCUUAGAAUACUUCAUUAGUCAUUUAUGAAAGGGAUGCCAUUGGCCUACCGAUUCAAGAUUCAUUAAGUCAAGAUACUUUAAAUUACACAUGAAGAGGAUUCCCUAAGCCUACCAAUUCAUGAUACAUUAUACAUUGAGGAAACCUUCACAACAUGUAAUCAUCAUUCACAAGUGUAUAAUUGAGAAUAACCUUGCAACAACAACACAAUUGCAUUAUAGUCAUAAAGGACCAUGAAUCAUAAUUCACCAACACACCUAGAAUUACUAUAAUUAGGCAUGUAUAAUAACAUGAUUCGUGUAAUUAAACUACUACAAGAACAAUCCCAUAAUAUUCAUCUUACGACAAUUCACCCACAUCAUAAAGUCAUAAAUUAGGGUUAUAGGGAAUUCAUGGAUUCAUGGGAGAUUUUAUCAUAAAAACACCAUAAAACAGAAAUUCAUUCAUAAUAUAUGAUAAUUAAAUCAUUGAAAACGUUUUUAGGAAGAAUCCAUGACUUGGAGUAAAAACCCUAAGUUUUGGAGAAUUUCCUUCUUUGAAAUUGAAAGUUUGAAGGAUCCAUGAAAGAAAGCUUUCCAUGAAUCAAGACUACCAUACCUUAAUGGAGUUUUCCCACUAAUUUGAGAAGAAAAACCCUGGUUCUUCAAGCCCUAGCCUCCACUUCUUCUUCCUUUUCUUUGGAAAUUCUAGAGAGAGAAAUUUUGGAGAAGAUGAACUCCUUUGGGUUUGAUUUGGGUCUUUGGGGUUAAUGAAGUAACAGGGUUGGUUUAUGACUUAGAAGCAUUUAUAUAUGUGAAAUAAAACAAUAUAAAUCGACCCCAAUAAUUAAUUAACUAAUUUGGAAUUUACCAAAACACCCCAACUAGGCAUCCUCUUCCCAGGGACUACGCCCACCUUCACGACCCGUCAAGGGCACCACGGCCCGCGGUGGUGCCCGUGGUCCCUUGACCAGUAGCCUCUCCAACUUGACAAGCCUCGCAUGAGGCUAAGGCACAAGAGCCUUCCCACGGUCUGUGGCCUUCACCACGAGCCGUGAAGUGGCUCAUGAAUAUGAGCCUUUGGAGCACAUUGCCUCACCAACCACAGGUGGAACCACGACUCAUGGUGGCCACCACGGGUCGUGAAGACCCUCGUGGUCAUGGUGGGCAUUGUCUAGGUGCUUUCUUGGCAGCUUGGCCCCCUUGCCAUGGCCCUCAUCCAAGAACCUUGACCCUUAACCUUAACCCUUGAUGUUAGCCCUCACGUUUAGGCUCUAGUUUAACCUACUAAUUUCUGAGGUGUUACAGAGUCUUCCCUAUAUCAUUGACCGGAGAUGCUACGGUGUGGUUUUCUGAGCUUCCGUACAACUCGAUUCAUACAUCGGACCAAUUGCACAAAAUGUUCAUGGAAAAGUAUAUUUCGUUAUCCAAGAAGCUGAAUCACAAGGACAAACUGAACAACUUUGUAGCACUACCUGGAGAGUCUGUGAGCAGUUCAUGCGAGAGGUUCACUGUAUUCAUAAGAAGUGUUCCGAAUCACCGCAUUGAUGAUGAGUCACUGAAUGAGUACUUCUACAGAGGUCAGGAUGACAAUAGCAAAGCGGUACUAGAUACUAUUGCUAGGGGAUCAUAUGGUGAGUGAACUUUUAAGGAGAUCGCUGAGAAAUUGGAGAAGAUUUCCCAAAAUAAUAAAGCAUGGAGCACUAGAAAGUCAGAAACUGGAAGAAGCACAUUUGCAGUUUAAGUUGCACCUAGUCAAUUUGCCGAUGACAUUCGUGAGGAGAUGGCUCAAAUGAGGACAAAACUUAGAUUGGUGUUGAAGCAUGUGAGCGGAGGUGCAGAAAAGAUGAAUGCAGUAAACUACUUAACUAGAACUCUACCACUACCAGUUGAGAAAUGCUACUAUGAUGAGGAUGCUUAUUUGGUAAAUGAUCAGACGGGGGGUUUUCGAGCCUACGCCCAAGGUUCCAAUUUGGAUAAUUGGUGCCAAGGUCGGAACUAUGGUAAAUACAAUCGAAAGGGUCAUUAUGUCCGGGAUGGGAACUACAAUCGCUACAACAAUUACAACCGGAACAAUUAUAGCAACAAAAACGAGAAAGUUGGGCCUUAUGUUCCACCUGCAAAUCAGGAAUCUGGCAAUAGAGAAGUUGGGGGUAGUAUGUCACGAAUUGAGGAUAUAAUGCAGAAGAUGAUGAAGAGGUUUGAUACGACUGAUGAUAAUGUGAAAGAGAUGCAGAAAGACUUGUCUGGAAUCGGUCAAAAGUUGAUGCCCAUGCAGUGUCGAUAAAGCAACUUGAGCAACAAUUUAGAAAGUUAACAACUACUGUUAACUCAUGUCAGCCUAGCACACUUCCUAGCAACACCAUCCAGAAUCCAAAAAAUGAUGAACAUUGUAUGGCAGUCACGACUCGAGGAGGUAAACAUACCAUUGAUCCCUUUAUGUCGUCUAAGGUUGAAAUUGUUGUAGAAAAAGAUGAAAAUGAGGUCGAGGAUGCUGGAGAGUCCAAGAAUCCUACAGAGAAGGAAAUAGAGGUGACCCAAAAAGUUAUUCUCAUACCUAAACCUCCACCAGCCAUUCCCACAGAGGUUGGUAAAAAAGACGGAAGAAGGAAAAUAUCGUAGGUUCAUUACGAUGUUGAAACAACUUUCCAUCAAUGUUCCGUUAAUAGAGGCUUUGGAGAAAAUGCGUGGGUAUGCAAAGUUUAUGAAGGAUUUGGUGACCAAAAAGAGGGUUGUUAGCUUUGAGAAUGAUGAGAGGUUGCAACAUUGCAGUGCUAUUGCUACUAGGUCACUUGUGUAGAAGAAAAAGAUCCUGGUGCUUUCACUAUUCCUUGUACCAUUGGGUUGUUGCAUUUUGCAAAUGCGUUGUGUGAUUUGGGUGCUAGCAUUAAUCUGAUGUCAUUGUCUAUCUACAAAAAGUUGGGGUUUAAGGACUCCGAAACCAGCUAUUCAUAGACGAUAGAACUGUGAAGAAGCCCAUUGGUGUUCUCCAAGAUGUCAUCGUGAAAGUGGAGUCAUUCAUUUUUCUGGCGUAUUUUGUGAUACUUGAUUAUGAGGUUGAUUUUGAGGUUCCCAUCAUCCUAGGGAGACUAUUCCUUGCUAUUGGGCGUGUCUUGGCUGAUAUGGAGAGAGGGCAGAUGAAGUUUCGAUUGAAUAGUGAAGAGGUAACUUUUAAUAUUUGUAGAUCUAUGAAGCAUGUCAAUAUCAGUGGUGAAUCAUAUUGUGGAGCGAGGUUCUGAUGUGUCUAUUGAAGAGAGGUUGGGUGUUGAUGCAUUGGUAGCGGUAAUGAUGAAUUUUGAGGGUAAUGGUAUUGAAGACUAUGAUGAAUUAGUUGCCGCACUUGAUAUGUUUGAAUUUUGUUCCAAACCAAAGAAAUUGGAGUUAGAUAUGAAGAAUUGCGACUCUGCACCCGCAAAACCGUCCGUUGAAGAGGCUCCAAAAUUGGAGCUCAAGGCUCUACCAUCACAUUUGAGGUAUGUAUUCUUAGGGAGAGAUGGUACUUUACCGAUCAUCAUUGCGGCAGAUUUGAGAGUGGUACAAGUUGAGGCAUUGGUUUUUGUGUUGAAAAGGUUCAAGAUGGCUAUUGGAUGGACUAUUGCGGACAUUAUUGGGAUUCCUCCUGGCAUUUGUUCUCAUAAAAUCCAACUCAUGCCGGACCACAAGCCUAGUAUCAAGCGACUAAAUCUGCUUAUGCAAGAGGUAAUGAAAGGAAAUCAUCAAGUGGUUGGAUGCUGGAGUCAUAUACCCCAUCGCGGAUAGUAGUUCGGUCUGUCAUGUUCAGUGUGUUCCAAAGAAAGGUGGAAUUGCUAUGGUUCCUAAUGUGAAAAAUGAGUUUGUUCCGAUGCGGCCAGUGACUGGAUGGAGAGUAUGCAUAGACUAUCAAAAAUUGAAUGCUUCGAAAAAAAUGAUCAUUUCCCUAUGUCGUUCAUGGAUCAAAUGCUGGAUCGCCUUGCUGGUAAUGGUUUGUAUUAUUUUCUUGAUGGGUAUUUGGGCUACAAUUAGAUCUCCAUAGCUCUAGAAGACCAAGAGAAGACCACCUUCAGUUGCCCUUAUGGGACUUUUGCCUUCAAACGGAUGACCAUUGGGUUGUGUAAUGCUCUAGCGACCUUCCAACGUUGCAUGAUGUCGAUAUUUUCAAAUAUAGUGGAGGACACUAUUGAGAUAUUUAUGGAUGAUUUCUCUAUGGUAGGUGACUCAUUUGAUGGUUGUUUGAUGUAUUUGGCCGAGUUACCGAAACGGUGUGAGAAGUGCAAUAUUGUGCUCAAUUGGGAAAAGUACCACUUCAUGGUGAAAGAGGGGAUUGUUUUGGGUCAUCGAAUUUCUGAGAAGGGUAUUGAGGUUGAUAGAGCUAAAGUUGAGGUAAUAGAAAAGCUUCCACCACUUAUCUCUAUUAAAGGUGUUAGAAGUUUUCUUGGGCAUGCAGACUUUUAUUGGAGGUUUAUCAAGGAUUUUCUCCAAAAUUGCACACCCAUUGUACAAAUUGCUCGAAAAGGAGUGUAAGUUUUGAUUUUGAUGAUGCUUGUCUGAGAGCAUUUAAAGAGUUGAAAGCAAAGAUAGUUUCUGCACCUAUCAUUAUUUCACCGGAUUAGGGAUAACCGUUUGAAGUGAUGGGUGAUGCGAGUGGAGUGGCACUUGGUGUGGUAUUGGGGCAGAGGCGAGAGAAGAUUCUUCAUCUGAUUUACUAUGCUAGCAAAGCUCUGAAUGUGGCUCAAAAGAACUAUACGGUGACUGAACAUAACCUCCUUGCUGUGGUUUUCGCAUUACAGAAAUUUCGAUCCUACUUGCUUGGUACUAAGGUCAUAGUGCAUACUGACCAUUCUGCAUUGUAUCCGAUGGCUAAAAAAGAUGCAAAACCAAGGUUGAUUAGAUGGGUAUUGUUGCUGUAAGAGUUCGAUUUUGAGGUGAAAGAUAGAAAGGGGGAUAGAAAAUCAAGUUACCGAUCAUUUGUCCAGAUUAGAGGAGGAAGUUAUGCUCAAUCUAGGAGAUGGGGCUAAAAUUAAUUAUGCCUUUCCAGACGAACAUGUAUUGGCUGCAUCUGUAGAUCUUAUUCCUUGGUUCGCGGACUUUGCUAACUACUUGGCAAGUGAUCUAGUUCCUUGUCGUUUACCAAAGGAAAAAGUUUAUGCAUGAUGCGAAGAAGUUCUUUUGGGAUGAGCCUUACCUGUUCCGUAUUUGUGCUUAUGGGAUUAUUUGUCGUUGUGUACCCGAGGUUGAGAUCAUUAGUAUACUAAAGGCGUGUCAUUCAUCGCCUGUUGGUCAGCAUCAUAUUGGUAUUCAGACUACUCAUAAAAUCUUGCAGUGUGGGUAUUACUAGCCUACCGUCCACCAAAAUGCUCAUGAUUUCGCCAAGUCUUGUGAUCGUUGCCAAGGAGAAUGAGGAAUUUCAAAGAGGCAAGAGCUACCUAUUAAUCUGAUAUUGGUGAUUGAGUUGUUUGAUGUAUGGGGCCUUGACUUUAUGGGACCAAUUAUGAGUUCACAUGAGAUGAAGUAUAUUCUUGUUACGGUUGAUUAUGUGUCGAAAUGGGUGGAAGCAAUUGCGCUUUCAAACAAUGAAGGGAAAAGUUUCAUCGCAUUCUUGAAAAAGAGUAUAUUCUCCAGAUUUGAUACACCUAGGGCAAUUAUCAACGAUAGAGGUUCCCACUUUUGUAAUAAGUUGUUCAAGGCGUUGCUAGAGAAAUAUGGAGUCCGUCACAAUGUAGCCACUCCUUUCCAUCUGCAGUCUAGUGGGCAAGUUGAAGUGUCAAACAAAGAGAUAAAGCAAAUCCUUGCAAAGACUGUGAAUGUCAAUAGAACUGAUUGGUCAAGGAGGCUUGAUGAUGCUCUAUGGGCCUAUUGCACCGCAUUCAAGACUCCCAUAGGUGUGUCCCCCUACCAACUUGUAUAUAAGAAGUCGUGCCAUUUUCCGGUAGAGCUAGAGCACAAGGCUAUGUGGGUGCUAAAGAAGUAGAAUUUGGAUUGGGGCGCCGCAUCGAAUCAAAGAGUGAAUGACAUGAAUGAGCUUGAUGAGUUUUGCCUAAAAGCAUAUGAAAGUUCAGCAUUGUACAAGGAGAAGAUGAAGAAGUAUCAUGAUCAAAAGAUUGAAAAGCGUGAAUUUGUUAUGGGUGAUCUAGUGCUUCUAUUCAACUCAAGGUCGCGCUUGUUUCUUGGAAAACUCAAGUCCAAGUGGACCGGGCCAUUCAAAGUCACUCAAGUGUUUCCACAUGGAGCGAUCGAGCUCAAGAACAAGGAGGGAACAAGGUUCAAGGUAAACGGGCAGAGGAUCAAAGUCUACAUGGGGAAACUGGAGAGUGUGCAAGAACUAAUUGACACUUAUUACCUUGAUAAAGUUUGAGUAAUCAAGGGACCUGCAUCGUGCCGCGACGUUAAAUCAAGCAUUGCUUGGGAGGUAACCCAAUAUGUACAAUCUAGCCAACUAUAAGUUUUUCUUUUCGAUUUAGGCGUUUUCUUCUUUUAUUUUAAUUUCUGUAAUUCUUUAGAUAAGUGUUUUAUUUUUGUAUUAGUGCUGGCUAGAUAUAGAAUAGGGUCCGUGUCUAAAAAGUGUCCAGAAAAUGUAAAAAGAAAGUCCUAAUGGUUGCUAUGUGUGCAGGGGCAAAAGGCAGAAUCUGCAGAAAAAUAGUUAUGCAGGGGCAAAAGGCAGAAUCUGCUGAAAAAUAGUUGUGCAGUGGUCUACGGACCCCAUCGAUGGUCCAUGGGUCCAUCCACGGAUCGUGAAUAGCGUCCGUAGACCCCAGGUAAGUUUUCUAAAAUUCUAAGUGUCAGAGUGACCUACGGGUCGGACCAAUGGUUCGUAGGUCAACCCACGAACCGUCAACCGGGUCUCGUGAGUCCAAAAAUUAGGGUUUGCCCGACCCGACCCAGACACCUCUAACCUCUCAUUCGUAAUUCAUUCCCCACAUUCAAAACUCCCUCCCAACCAUUUUUAAACCUUUUCUCUCCCACAAUCACUCCAUUUAAUCCCAAUAUCCCACAGAUCAAGUCCCCAUUCAAGUCCCCAAUUCUCAAAUCAUCCUUCUCCCUUCCAAAUCCCUCAUCUCCAUUCUCCAAUGAUUCCACAAGUCCAUGUUUUAUGUCAAAGGGAUAGCAAAGGUAUAAACGAAUCUAUUGCAUCAUCACACUCACCCACUUCAAUUACUUAAAAGGUAAACGACUUCACCCUGACUUUGAAUUCACUGUUCAUUGUUUGUAUCAUGAAGUCCCGAAGUUGGAACUUAACCUUGGGUUGUUAAUGUCGUGUUUGAUUGUUAAAUUGUAUGUUGAAAACACCCUUGGUAUGAUGGUAUGUGAGUGUGUAAUUACUUAAAACUGAAUAAUUCCAGUUAAUAGGCCAAAUUGGAAGUUUUGACUUAGGGUUCAUGGGUAUCGGUGUGAUAAAUUGUGAAAUUCUGUAAAAUUGGAACCCUAAGGAUGAUUAACUACCAUAUUACUUGUUGAAAUGCAUGUAUAGGCCUAAGUUGUUUAAAAUUGGUGAAGGAACAGGAUUGAAAGAAGUGAACCAUCUGAAACCUGGCACAGCCUGACCCACGAGACCCCGUUUACGGACCGUAGGUCAGAUUCGUGGGCCAGAAGCACACAAUUUGUUUUGCUAAGGUCGAACCACGGUGUGGACUACGACAAACCAUUCUGCACAUUCGUAGUUCCCACAUGAGAGACCCAAUUUUGGGUACUCUGACCUACGGAGGGGACCUACAGACCAUAGGUCAACCCAUGGACCGUAGGUACCCACCGUGGAUUGGCAGUUCACCUACUACCCAGAUUUUUUAAAGUUUUUUGUUUUGAUUUGUUUCUUGUUCUAAAAUUCUUCUAAGUGUGUUAUUUGCUUGUUUUGGUACUAACUAAGCUUCUACAGGUACGAUGUCCCCCAAGCAGGCUCUUACUUACGCCGCAAAAGGCAAAUCAAAAUUUGUAGCACCUUUCUUGCGGCUGAUCGAUGAGGAUACGGAUGUAGAGUACGUUCCACCUCCCACCAGGACUUCCCCCACUGUUCCAUGCAUUACACAGAAUCGAGCCCGACGGGUGAUUCCCGACGUGGUCACUGCCCCUAGUCUAAUGAGAGGGAUGCACCGAUUGGAUCACCGGUUAGCUCUGAGUCCGCAUCCAGCUCCAGUUCUAACGGCAUGACCGCCUCGUCUUCUGAGGCUAAUAGUGUGGGUGACAUUUCAGUCCCCCCAGUAACAACCCUGCACCAGUUGCUGAGGAGCCGAAUCGAUGGUGUGUGAAGAGCUAAUUUUAGUUAUAUAGAGAUGCCACCAUGCUGAAUGAGAACGAUAAGAUGGCUCAACUAGUCACCAAUGAGCGUCGGGUUCUCACAGGUAGACUCCAGAUUGCUCCCGCCAACCACGAUCUUCUUCGGAGGCACAUGUGUUAGUGGAUGGCACGUUGCCCAGGGUCCUAUAGUGAGGAGAUAGUACGGGAGUUCUACACUUCCUAUGCAGCCACCAUCAGAGGGUCCAUCUCCAAGAGGGCAAAGUCCACAGCUCAGCCUCCACUUGAGGCUACAUUAGUUCAGGGUUUUUCUGUGGACAUCUCCGAGAUCACCCUCCACAGGUUCAUCUAUGGCCCAAACCAUACUCUUCCCAUCAAUACAGAUGAAUUCGACUAUCAGAUGGGCAUUCUUCAGAGUAGAGCAUUUCAGCGAGAUGCCGAGCAGAGGGAGUCCCUUGUGAGAUGGUUGGCCCGACAUCUUGCUACUAAUGGAGAGCGUAUCGAGUAGGUCUAGACCCCGAGUUUGGGUAUUUAGAAGGCGACCCUGACCUUUGCCGCUAAAUUUUUCUGGUUACUGGUGCGUAACCGUGCGUCCCCUACUCAGGUGGAUAAUAUGCUCACAUGGGAUCGUGCAGUUAUGGUUCCAGCUAUGGUUGCCAGUUUGGAGAUAGAUUUUGGUCGCAUCCUGAUUGCAGUGAUCUAUGAGAGGGCUUUCAAGGCCACCACUAUUUUUCCUUUCCUCUGCCUCAUCUUCCAGCUUUGCAGGGACUCCGGUGUACUAGUAUGGCAUUGUGACCGGUUGCUUCAGGCAACCAAGACUCUUAAUAUCGGCCUUAUUUGGGAUGAGGCCAAUGUAGUUGCACCUCGCAGGGAACCACAGGUUGAGGUGCCACCGUUAGGCGAUGAUCUUGUAGUAGUUGUGGAGCCGAUGCAGGAUGGUGACACUACCCCUCCAACCACUACAGUAGAUGCCCAGGCUCUUCUGUCUCCGGCCGCCAGUCAGGCCUCUAGCUCUUCCAGAGCCACUCAUUCUUUCGGUUCCACCGCCAUCCCUUUAGCUCGAGUACAGAAGCUAGAGGCACAGAUGGCCACCCUACUUCAGCAUGUGAGGCAAUGGAUGCAGCGUGCUAUAGCAAAGUUCAAAACGAUGGUUGAGCAGUGAAUGAAGCAUAUGAUGGACCAAAAGGUACAUGCCGUUCAUCAGCGCCUGGAUGCCUUUGAGUUGUGAGUCCUAGAAAGGCCGGUCUCGAUCGUUGAUGUGACCACCCUCAAAAAGAAGUUAGAGAGCCUCUGUGCUGAUGUUUUUGUAUUUCUCGCUCCCCCCGAGACUGAGCCAAAGUCUGCCUCUACGGCACUGUUUGAUGAUGUGGUGAUGAGUGCCCUAUUCGGAGAUGAUAUGCCACCACCAGAUUCUUCAUGUGCUGCUGGGAAGCACCUCCGCUCCGAUCGCACUUCUGAUGAUACUGAGGCUGAGAGAGUGAGAAAGAGGGAGCGCCAGAAGACUGGGGUAGCUCGGAGGGCAUCUAUAGUUGACGAGAAGAUAAGACAAUAGAGGGCCAGAGAGAUAGGUGUGGGCCCAUCUAGCGGUGUGAGCACUACUGACAGUGCUUUCAGAGUUGAUGAGAGCACUGCUGAGAGUGCUGGGAUAGUAGAUGGGAGCGCUACUGAUGCCGUUGAUGUUUAUCGUAAUCAACGACACAAACUUCCAAUUCAAUGUGUCUACGAUCGUGCAAUAGUAUAAUAACCCAACCAAGGGUUGGGGUCGUCCCAAGGGUGUGGUUUUAAGAAUUAAUAGAAAAAUAAAACCUAGUUCUAACUAGUCGUAGCUAAAGCUAUUAACGAGUAAAAACAUAGUAAAUAAAAGGGGGUGACACAAAUCCCCGGCAGUGGCGCCAUUUUGAUGCUUAUCGUGACCAACGAUAGUAACCCACAGUUAAAGUGUCUACGAUCGUUGAUAAUAUAGUAACCCAACCAAGGGUUGGGGUCGUCCCAAGGGUGUGGUUUUAAGAAUUAAUAGAAAAAUAAAACCUAGUUCUAACUAGUCGUAGCUAAAGCUAUUAACGAGUAAAAACAUAGUAAAUAAAAGGGGGUGACACAAAAGUGUCAAAUAUCAAGUGGGGGUUUUGUCACAAUUAGUUAAAAACAACAAAAAUUAACAAGAAAGUCAAGUAUGGGGAAAGGUUCUUGGGGUGUGACCGCAAUACAAGUUGAGAUAAAUCAUUGGGUACAUGCUUUCGAUAGAAAAUUUGCAAGAUAAUAGUGACUAGGCUAAGCUUUAGGUGGAAAUAAGUUCCCUCUCGGGCAACUUACCCCGUUUCAAAUGGGUUUCUCUCGGACACUCAUUUGCCGCAUGAAGACCAACCUACUCCUUACCCCACUCACUCUCUCAAGCUGAGUGUUAGGAUAUGGGACUAGGGCUCACCCUCUCGGGCUGAACCUCAUGUCGACCCACUUCUUAGACCAUCAGUCUAGUGGUCUUGGUUUCGCAACCUCCUUCUCGGGCAAGCCGAAAACACAUGGGUAGAUUUGUCUUUGCAACUACAAACCCAUUAGAUUCAACCACAACCACUAGGUGAAAUCACAAUUAAAGUACAUCUAACCUAUCAGUAAGUCAAACCCAACAAGAAUAUCAACCCAUAUUUGCUAAAUCACACCCCAAGAAUGGGGUUUUUAGCCACACAUCAAGAAAUAACAAAAUACACCUAACAUGUUACUAAAAUCACAUGGGUAUAAGAAAUUAAACCUUGAUUUAAGCAAAGGAAGAAGAAUGGAGAAAACCCACUUCCAACUUGGGGAAGAUGAAAUCCUUCUUUCUUCAAGUCUCCCAAAAAACCCUCUCCAAACUUGAGAAAAAAAUAUCUGGAAAAAGUACUAUUCUAUUCUAAAAAUUACAAUAAUAAUCGUCUCACUAAAAAUAAUAAAGAAUUUAGUAUUUAUAGCUAUCAGAAAUUUGUGCUGGAAAAUAUUUCGGCGCAAUUAGUCAAGUUCGCCGAUUGACUCGGCGACUCGCCCUUGUUCUGUCUUAUCGCCAUUUUGUGCUUUCCUUCAGCAUCUUCACGUCUGGACCGUUGGGUGGUAUAGUACUGCUUUGCGGAACUAUUCGGUAAAGCGCCGACUACUUCCUUUCAUCGCAUAUUUGAUCCUCCUCAUUCGGGGCUUCGCGUACUGGAAUAAAGGGCGGAAUCGGUCCCUUUGGCGACUCGCCGAGUGUACUUGGCGGAUCUCAAGCUUCAGCUUCUUCGUCCUUUGUAGCCUUUUUGUUCCUUUUUGCGCCUAAGUGUCCAUGCUUCCCUUAAAACUUCAAAUACCUGAAACUUAAGAGUUUUCAUCAGGUAUUUAGACAAAACAAGCAUUCGAGUACACUAUUUCUAUCAGAAUACAGCCCUAAAUGAGUCCAAUUUGUGGACUCAUCAGUCGUUCCGAGUGUUGAUCCAGCGGGCUCCGAGAAACCGGACCCAUCUGCUCCUUGACCAAUCUUCGGCGCAUAAGCGCUACAGGUUUGCUUCACCUGAUCCUUUGCUUUUUACUUUUUGUGCAUUGGGGACAUUUGCACUUUAUUUUGUUGGGGAUGGAGUAAAUGGAUUUUGAGUGAUAUGAUGAAGUCUGAGUAAUCCAACUCAUAAUCCUCUCUUCAGAUUUUUUUGCCUGUGUUCUUUUCCCCCAAGAGACUGUUUUAAUUUAUGUUGAACCGGCAUGUUUAGGAAUGUAUGUGUAGGAGUAAGUAGAAAAAUUAAAGCAUGAUAGCAUGAAAAAAAUUAUCCCUGUCCAAAAAUGGUGAAAUGUGCUAGUUCGAUCGUCUUGAUGAGUUGAAUGUGUUAGAUCUCAAUGUGACAUGAUAGGGAACCGAUUUGACCUCAUGACUUAGGCUAAAACUUGAACUGGGUAAUCUGGUAAUGUAACAAUGUGCCAAGAGUGUGUGAGAAAAGUUGAAUGUUCAGACAGUAUGUGUCAAUCUAAAACUUGCCACAUCGGUCCUGCUAAGAUAAUCUAGGAAAGAAGUUGGGAAGUUAUCAUAGGCCCUUAUUCAAAUUAGUCCACUUAAGCCUAAAAUGAUCCAACCAAAUGAAAUCAAUGAUCCCUUUUAUCCAAAUGUUUGAGCCUGAAAUAGACCAUUUCUUUUGAAUCACCUAACUCACCUUUCCUAAAAUAAUUGUCUUGGCCCCGGUCCCUUCUUGGACAUGUGCACCUUGACUUAGGACAAAAGCUUAAGUUUAGGGUGGCUACUGCAAAAAAUUACCUUGAUCUUAACUCUGGUCCAACAUCGGAUAUUGUGCACCUCAACUAAUGCAAAAUCAAUAAGUUGAGGGUGGCUAUGAAAAAGGAAACCGAAAGAAAAAAAAGGUAUGAAAAGAGUUUUGUGUUGAAGAAAGAAAAAGAAAAAAUAGAAAAGGAUGUGACUUUGUGCAAAAGAAGCAACAAGAUGAUAAAUAAAAGUGUUGAAAGAAAUAGAGAAAAAAAAAUAAAGUGAAAGAAAAAAAAUAAAGUGAAAAAUAAGAACCACAAAGUCAAAAGUCACAUCCAUGAUGAAAAGAGACAAGGGAAAGAAAGUAAAAUAAAAGGAUGUCAAAAAUAGGUUGAGAAGAGAGGUAAAAAGUCAAUGUAAUGUCAAGGAGGGUAGAAAGUCACUAAAAAGUACCCAAAUGUACCACACCUGACCCUGAGCCUACGUUAGAAGCUAAGAAAGUCCUAUAGUGAUCCUAGCAACUAGUUUGGAGAGUCUAAGCAGUGAAAAUAAGGGUAAGCCUAUGGUAUUGAGCACUAACUAUACUUGAAGUCACUUUUGAGCGUGAGUGUUGAAUAAAUCCUAAAACUCAAAAUUCAUAUCUUCUGUGUGAAAAGGAUUUCGUUUGAAGUGAGGGCACUAGUUACAUUGUCGGAAAGUUGGUACCUUGGUGAUUAUGAAAAGUGUAUGUUGUGGUGUCUAUUGGUCGAUCUUUGUCAUAUCUUGAUCCGCAUGAGUUAGGUUGUUGAGUCUAAUAAAAAGGAUUUGCACUAAGAAGAUGGAAUGGGUUGAAAUAGCCAUAUGAUUGCUGAGUUUGUACAUCUACUUCUACGCAAGUGUCGUUUAGAGUGUUAGUGUCUCACUUGAGGACAAACAACAUGUUUAAGUUGAGGGUGUUGAUAUAUCGUGAGUUUACAGUAUUUUUUAUACAUUUCACUUAAGAGUUGUGUGUAUCUAGGGCCAUUUUGUAUUAGAAAUAAUGUUUUUGUAUUAUGUUUGCAGGAAAUAAGCUUUGGCGCAGUUGAGUGAGAUGACAGUUGAAAUUCUGCAGCAGUGGCCAUCCACGGAGGGACCUACGGACCGUAGGUCCUGUGACGGUCCGUCGAUGGGUAGGCAUAGAUAGGAGCAUCAGGGAAGUCUGACCAAGUGUGGAACUACGAAGCGAUCCACGGACCGUAGGUCGACCUACGGGCCGUCCUGCACAUCCGUAGAAGGUGUUCAGAGAGUUGAAGUUCCAGUACCUGAUGAAAAUCCUAAGUGUGGAGCCAUGGAAGUUCCGUUAUGCACGUCCGUCGUUGAUGAACUGGGAGUUGAAGGAUCCUGCCUCUGUGGAAAAGUUCUAACUGUUGACCAACGGAGGGGACCUACGGACCGUAGGUCGACCCACGGUCCGUAGGUCGAGUCGUCGUUCAAAGCCGCUUCCCAGAAGUUAUUUCCUUAUUUUGUUUAGGACAUGUUUUUCUAUAAAUAGGGUAUGUAAACCUCGUUUUUUGGGGUUAGACAUUAUUGUUUACUUUUAGGUCUUGAUAUUUUCUUAGGAAUUAACUUGCAAACUUCGGCAAUUUGAUUUUCAGAUUUCGGUUUAUAUGAUUUUUGCUUUGAAAUUCAGUUCGAGAUUACGGGUUUCUUCUACUCUAAACGUAAGUUCAUGAAUUCUUCUUAUCAAAACAUGAAUUGUGUUCUUUCAAGCAUGAGUAGUUAAAUCCACAACUAAGGUUGUGGGAACCAUGAGCAAUUAACAACGUAUGAAUAAUAACUAAGUAAUUCUUAAAUAGUGUUGAUGCAUGCAUUGGUAAUUCUUUCGCUUAGAAGUCUUUUUAACGAGUGCACGCGUUAGAACUCACCUUGUUGCUACUUGCUGGACCAAGGAGGUAGUUAAUAAGAAAAGAAUUAUCAACAAAGAUUUAGUGUGGUACUAUCUAAUAGUCUAAUGUCAAUUGGUGCGAAGGUGAAAACUAAGUCAUACAUUGAUGUGAUGUCUAAUCUGAGGUAAAGGUAAAGGUUAGUAAAUUGUACACACGUAGCCGGACCAAGCUGCGGAGUGAAAUUCCCUACUUGGAGGACCAAUCACUUAGGGAUACCUAUCUUACCAGUUUUGCAUGUAAAACACUAGGAAAUGAUUACUAUUAUUAGGAUUACCGCGUUAUGAGCUUAUGGGGAACACAUACACCCUAGUUUCUCUCUCAUAUUGAUAACUCGAAGUUUGAAUCUUGCUCACUUGUUACUUAAACAACAAUCAGUUAUUCAUUUCACAAAUCCUCCCCCCACCCCCCACCCCCUUUAUUUACUUGUCUCGGAAAUAAGUUGACUAAACGAAUAUAAUAGUGAGUUAAGUUUAAGUUUGAACCAUAUUCUUCAUGGGAUCGACCCCAACCUACAAGUUAGAUUCUUUAUUGACGACAGCUGCUUAUACUUCUUUAGGGAAGUCUAAUUUGAGCGUAUCAACUGGUGAUGUUAAUGAUCACCGCUCUAUCUCUGGUUACAUAAUUUAUCUAAGUACAAUGCCUAAGAAGGUGCUCUCGUAAGCAACCUAUUGUCUCUCGCUCCUCCACUGAGGCUGAUCAGUAUCGAGUGGUUGCUUUUGCCUUGUCUGAAACAAAUUGGAUCACCCACUUGCUCAAGGAUCUUCAUGUUCCACUCACUGCUGCUCCUACAAUACUUUGUGAUAACCUUGGAGUCACCUACAUUGCUGAAAAUCUGAUAUAUCAUAGAAAAAUGAAGCAUCUCGAGGUUGAUUUUCAUUUUGUCCGCAACCAAGUUCACAAUGGCCUAGUUCAAGUAUCACACAGUCACUCCACUGAUUGAAUUGCAGAUCCGCUCACCAAACCACUGUCGAAGACAGCCUGUCAAUGCAUGCUUCCCAAGUUACGUGUUGUCCCUUCACACCCAACUUGGGGGGGGGGGAGGGGAGGCGUAAUAGAGCACGUGCUACUCAGUAGUUGCUACAGAUUAGGACUUCAAUUACUUUAUAAGAACUCACGUAAUAUAGGACUGUUCACGUAGUUUAUUUGCUCGCCUAUUUCCUAGGAAGUUAGCUUUAGCACAAUCUGUUCACUUUUCUUUGUAUAUAAAUUAUACUGGAGACUCAUUAAUAAUGCACAAUUUUUAUUCUACUUCUCUGCAAUUAUUUAUGGUUGGUCAACUGUGCGGGAAUAGACAUGACACAGCCACGUUGGCGCUUUUGUCAAUCAACAACAACGUCUCAAUGCCAAACAAGUUUGAAGAUAUUUUGGUUGAUAGUUUACUUAAAAUAUUGACUCCUAUUUUAUUUUUUUGGUGAAUUAAAAUAAAAAUAAAUAAAACCCAAAAGGAAUAAGUACAAGCAAGGAAACUAGAUCUUACCUUACCGAUGUAUGAAAUUUACGAACCUCUUAACAAGAAUUCUUCCUUCUAUUAUGAGUUAGCCAACUUUUAUUUUCCUCCUUUUAAUCUGUUUUCACAUUAAUCUUUUUGCUACUUAUUUUCCUCAUCCAUAUUAAAUUGUUUUCACAUCAAUCUUUUGGCUACUUAUUUUCCUCCAACUUAUUAAUCUGUUUUCACAUAUUGGAAAUUAGAGUUUAUUUUAAAUUUCUUUUUGCCUCUCUCUCCUUCAUUUGUAUUUGCCUCGGAAUUUUUACACAGAUAAUGUGUAGAACCUAAACUCUAAUGAGAUUAAAAACAUGAAUAGAUUAAGCACCUUUUGAUAAUACAAUCAAUUCCUCUUUUAAACUCCUUCUCAAGACCUUCCCUUUUCCUCAGAAACUCAUUACACACCCUCAAAUUAUUCCUAUUCUUCGGUAAUCUCAACAAUUCACUAAUUUCGGAACGAGCCUACACGAUUUCAAAUUAGUCGGAUUUUAAUAUGAAUAUUGAAUAACAAAUGAUAAAGAAUAUUAAAAACAAAAUUGUCUGCGCUUCGCGCGGCUAUAAGAAAUAUAUAUUGGACAUUAAUAUAUAUUCCAUGUGUCCCAUUUUAUGUAACACUUUUCGAAUUUCGAGAUUCAAACAAGUUUAUCUUUGACCGUGAAUUUUUCAUAUAUCUUUUAAAUAUUUUGAAUUGCCAAUUAUUGUGACUUAUAGUACUUUUUACGUAGUUUAUAAGUAUAUAAAUUUCAUUUCAAAAAGUUUGGUGAUUCCAUGCACAAAUUCACGGUCAAACUUAAACUGUUUGACUCUCGAAAAAUGAAAAGUGUCACAUAAAUUGGGACAGAAGGAAUAAUAGUUAUAUUCAUAUUAGUAUCAAAUAUAUAGGAUAUUGAUAUUUUCUUCAUCUGUGAUAUGAUACAUUUUUUUAAAUCUUUUUUAAACAUAUAAAAAUAAUAUUUUUUUACAUCUUUUAAGAAUAAACUAUUCAUAUGUCACUACAACAAAAACACCUCUUAGCGGUAAUAAAUAUACACAUUAACAAUUUAAAGAGUGUUAAAGCAUUUACCUGCAUUAGCAUCCAAUGUCGCUAAAGGAUCUAGGGACAUAUACAAAGAGUAUUAAUUGCCACUAAAAGUAUAUAUAUUUAGUGACAAUCAAGUUAUUGCCACUAAAGAUCAUUUUUGAUGUAGUGUGUAUAUAGUAGAAUAAAAUAUUUAGGUGAAGUAAAUGAAAUAUGAGAUCAUAUUUACAUAUUUUUUUAGGAUCCUCUAUACAAAUUCUAAUUUCGUAGAAAAAACUUUUGAAGUUCUUCAUUGUGUCUUUAUUAUUAAAUUUAUUUAUUGUAAUUUUUUAAACAUUAAUUAAAUAUUUAUAAAAAUUAUGAAAAAGAAACAUGAAAAAGUUAUAAUAAUAUUUAAGAGUAGAAAUUACAAGUAAGAUGAAGAGACAUGAGUUAUGAAACUUAUAACAUAUUAAUUGCAUUAAUAAUCAUGUAUUAAUUUUAUUUGUAAAACAAACAAAUAAAUAAAUGUGAAAAUAAGGGAUAGAAAUACAAUAAUGAACAAAAAAAUAAAGUAAUUGGUGACUGCAUAAAAAAUAUAAAUACAUUUGAAAUAAAAAAGAAUAGUGACGAAAACAUAUUGUUACAUACAAAAAAAAAAAAAGACAUCAUAGAAUUAAUAUUUUAUUUUUUAAUUAUUUUUUGACAAGCAUGAUAAAAAUGAAGCUUAUGAUCAUCAUAAAAAAAAUUUAAGAAUGGAUUAGUUAUAUUAAUUGUGCUUCAUAACAAAAAAAAAUAAAAAUAGAAUAGUAAAGAACCAAAUGAGUAGCAUUGUCAAUACAUGUAGUUAAGUUACUUACACAAACUAAAGUUUGAAACUUUAGCAAAAAGUAGCUACCUUACCAAUACAAGUCAAAGUAAAAAAAUUAUAGCAAAAGUAAUCCUUUAUUAUGCUUCAAAAAAAGUUUUUGUUCUACCAUCUUCCUUUGCAAGUAGAUACGCCGUCAUAUUUUAUGUUUCAUAUGUCAAACUCUUCAGCAUAUGCUACCAAUUGAAUAAAAAAACAUAAUUAUGAAUAAAUAAAAUAUCAUACCAAUUUAAAGUAAUUAUACUAAAAGAAAGAAAUAAAUCUAAACUAUAUUUAAUAUAUCUAUAAUUAUGUUUUCAAUUUUACUAACUAUAAAUAAUAACCAUCUCUUAAAAUUUAACAAAUAUUGUAAUCAAACUCUAUUAUAUCCGCAAAUUGACUAUUAGAGAGAACAAUCACAUACUAACAAUACAUUGUUCAUUAUUACAAUUUUUUUUAUCAUACUUGCUUGGAGAAUGAUAAUACAUAAAUAAAAUAUUAAGAAAGCAUGUCCAAAUACAUAAAAAUAAAAAGAGACUUGAGAAUGAAAUAUUUCUUACCUUCCAUCUACUUCUUUUUCGUUACAUGUUAAUUAAAUUCACAAACUAAUAUGAUGAAGAAGAGAAAAUAUAUUCUUGAAUGUGAAUUUUCAUGACAUUAAAUAUGAGUUUAUAUAAGCAAAAUGUAGAAAAUGGAAAGAAAGACUUGAGAAUGAAAUAUUUUUCACCUUAGCUUCAUGUACUUCUUUUUUGGUUACAUGUUAAGUUAAUUCACAAACAAAUAUGAUGAAGAAGGGAAAUGAUAAUCUUGAAUGUGAAUCUCCAUGAAACUAAAUAUGAAUUUAUAUAGGCAAAAUAGAGGAAUACUAUAAGAUAUCAUAAACUUACAAUUAAUGUUUGGAGGUUAUGGACAUGAAAAUUAUGAGAGUCUUGAAUAUUAUUAAAAAGGUUUAAUCUAUCGGUGGCCCCCUAAAAUUGACAUUAUGUUUCACUUAGACAUCUUAACUAAGUCAUGUUCAUUUUAGACACCUCAUGUAGAAUUUCGUUAUGUCAUUUUGACACUUUUUUUAAUGUCAGGAAAAAUAUAUAGUGUGUGUAUUACACUCACGAAUAACGUAUAAAAUGACAAAUUAAACGAUGACAUUUGUCAUUUGUGUCAAAUGUAAUUUUUAAAUAAGUAAUUUUAAGUAAAAAAUAAAAAUAGACCAAUGAAUUAAUGACAUAUGACACAAAUAAAAUAAAAAUUAAAUAUAAAAUCAAUAAAAAGAACCCNNNNNNNNNNNNCAACCAAAAUCCCCUCCCGAAUUGGUUCCCCACCCCCCGCCACCCACACACAAACAAAAUGUCUUUUGCAGCAAAACUGGCCGCCCCGUUGGCAUUUCCUUUUUGCUGAAACAUCCGCAGCUAUGAUCAUUUUCUUCCUUUUUUUGGGCUUAAUAAAUAGCUUGAUGGCGAAUGGAAAAUUUUUGUUAGUUUAAAGAAAUUUUUUACUUAGUUUAAAGAAAUCUACUCAGUUAUUUUGUUGAAAUCUUCGUUUACAAUGGAUGAAAUUUAAUUUAGGCAAAAAUGGUGGCAAAAAAUGGGGAAAAGGAAGAAAAAAUAAUUUAAAUUAAUUAAAUAAUUAUUUCACCCGUCAAUCAAUGAGUGUAAUACACUCAUUAUGUCAUGUAAACAAAAAGUAUCAAAAUGACACAAUGAGACUCUAUAUGGAUUAUCUAAAAUGAACAUCAUUACUUAGUUAAGGUGUCUAAGUGAAAUAUGAUGUCAAUUUUAGGAAGUCGCCGAUGGGUUAAGCCUAUUAAAAAUAAAAUUUAAAGAGGUGUAAGUCAUGGGUAAUUACUCCUCGUAAAUAAAUUAAGUAAUAAGAAAAAAACACUUAAAAUAUUAAAAUAUAUUAUCAUUUUAUGAUUAAAAGUGAGGCUAACAAAGAAAAAAGAAUGUGAAGAGUCUUUGUUAUAAAUGUUACUCCAUUAAUAAAAUAUUUAUUUAUAAUAAAUUAAGUAAUUUACUUCUAUAACACAAUAAUUAAUUUAAAUAAGAAAAAAAAUGUCAAAAAAAAAAGAAAAAAAGAUAAAUACAAAUGGAGGCCAUAGAGAGAUUUUACAUCUCUAUAUUUCUCAUUUAUUAUAUAUAUAUAGAUUGGGAAAAGGGCAAAUGUACAUUUAAUUUCUAACUUUGCAGGUGAUAUGUCCCAUUAAAGAGUGACACAUUUAUACUUGUCAUCCAUCUAAAACAUGAUUACUCUUUCGUUAACAAACUCAUUAAAUUAGAAAAAAAAAAUCUUAAAACUUAUUUUUACUUCUAAAAGUACGAUGUAACCUUUAAAAAACUAUCUUUAUCCAUUGUUUUUAAUCUCUUGAGGCCCGACUUAGUUAAAAAAAUGGAUGUUCAUGUGACAAUGAACUUGAAUACCCCUUGUUAACAAAGUAUUCAACAAUUUGCAUUUAUAAAAAUAAUUUUGUUAUUUGUUACUUUGCCUUAUUAUUGACGAGUGCAAUUCAUGCAUUAGAGUAUGUUUAUAGAACCAACUUAAAUUAGGAUAAGAUGUUUAGAUGGUCAUAAACAAAAGUUAAGGUUCACAAUACGAUACAUUAUGAAACAAUAUGUAACAAUAAUAAUGAAAUCAAGGUCCUUUCUAGAUUUAUUUAUUUUUUAAAAAGAAGAGAAAAUACAGGUAAAAAUAGGAUUUCAUGUACUCAAAUUUGACUUUGAGAUGCAUAAUGUUCUACAUUAGAUCAUACUUGUGUUUAAGAGACAUUAUAAUUAAGUUAAUGUAUCUAGAUGAUCCCUGGAUACAUAAUUUUGGUAUCAAACGGAUAAUUAAGGAAAAAUUUAAGUAUCUACCUACGUAUUUUAGCAAAAAUAAAAUAUGAGGAAGUUAAAUAAAAUCAACUAAAUAUCAGGUCCAUAUAAUUUAGUUCUUGCUUACGUGAAGUUGUGAAUAUAGGAAAUCUUAGCCUCCAAUUCCUUUUCAGGUUCAUAUUAUUAUAACAAUAAAUGUUGCCCUUUUCAUUUGAAUUUGAUUGAAUAUAUUAUAUUUUGGAAUUAAAAGAAAACAAAAAUAAAAAUAAUAAAAUAGAUUUAGAAAAAAAAAAUUAAAAAAAAAAGUGAAACCACAGGUGACAACAUGUGUAGUAGUGUGUGUCGCGUUUGAUUUUCUUCUAAAGAAAACAAUAAAAUUUCUUCCAUUUUGUGCUAAUUAGUGAAUGUGUGUUGUGUAACACAGCCUCGUAAAUUUGAUUUUAAAGAUUACUCCUAUUGACUUUGCUCUCAAGUCUUAAUAAUAUAAUGAAAAUUAUAGUCUAUACUUUUAAUCUGUCUUUACAUUAGUCUGUUUGUUACUUAUUUUCCUCGUAUGAAUCUGUUUUCACAUUUUGGAAAUUAUAGUCUAUACUUNNNNNNNNNNNNNNNNNNNNNNNNNNNNNNNNNNNNNNNNNNNNNNNNNNNNNNNNNNNNNNNNNNNNNNNNNNNNNNNNNNNNNNNNNNNNNNNNNNNNNNNNNNNNNNNNNNNNNNNNNNNNNNNNNNNNNNNNNNNNNNNNNNNNNNNNNNNUCUUAUUGAUUCUUCUCUUUCUAAUUCAAUUUUCUAUAUCACUUGCUUCCUCUAAUGAGACUGACCAACAAGCUCUAUUAGCUUUCCAAAAUCUUAUUACAAGUCCCACUCAUUUUUUGGCCAACAAUUGGACCAAAAAUGCUUCCUUUUGCUCUUGGUUUGGUGUCACUUGCUCUCCAAAAAGGCAAAGGGUUGUGGCCUUGGCUCUUCCUAAUUUGCAACUUCAAGGCACAAUUUCCCCAUCUUUGGCCAAUUUUGUCCUUCCUCAGUGUUCUCAAUCUCCAGAACAACAGCUUCCACGGUGGCAUCCCUUAUGGUAUUGGCCACAUGCCUCGCUUGCGAGUGAUUGGCGUUAAAAACAAUCAGCUUAACGGAAGUAUACCAACAAGUCUAUUUCAAAACCGGAGAGUUCAAGUAAUUUCUUUGGCUUUCAAUGAACUCAGUGGUGAAAUGUGGAGAGGGCCAUGGUAUGUACCCGAACUCAGAGUCUUAAAUCUCGGGAACAAUAACCUCACCGGUAUAGUCCCUCCUUCUGUUGGAAAUGCCACAAAAAUGAUGAACUUCAGUUUGUCUGGGAAUAGAGUCAGCGGCAACAUUCCAAAGGAGGUCUGUAAUCUGAGCCAGCUGGCAUUUUUUUCCUUGUUCGAUAAUCAAUUAACAGGUUCCAUUCCCGCAACACUGUUUAACAUCUCGUCACUACUUGUCGUAACUCUGGCAAAGAAUAGCCUUUCUGGUCCUCUCUUGCUAGAUGAAGGCAAUAUUGUGUCGAAUCUGUACAUUUUAAGGAUGUCUCACAAUCAAAUUUCUGGUUGCAUUCCUUCCAACAUAUGCCAACUCACACAGCUCAAAGUUUUGUCCAUAUCUUUCAACAAUAUAACCGGAGACAUACCUAGAAAUAUUGGUUGUUUAUCCAAACUCGAGAAUUUUUAUAUGGGUGAUAAUCCAAUAAAAGGGACUAUUCCCACUUCAUUGGGAAAUAUUUCCACUCUGCAUAGUCUUUACUGUGGAAACAAUCGCAUAGUGGGGAAAAUUCCUCCGGAAUUAGGGAAGCUAUCAAAUUUGAGGGAAUUAAUCUUUACCCAUAAUUCUAAUCUUAUCGGUCAAAUUCCAGAUGCUAUUUUCAACAUAUCUUCUUUGGAAGUGAUUAGUUUCAGUCUCAAUAGCCUCUCAGGGAGAAUUCCAACCACUACAGGUCUUCAUCUUCCGAACCUUAAAGUACUUGAGUUGGGAGUCAAUCAGCUGGAAGGGGAAAUUCCAUUGUUCAUAACAAAUGCUUCCAAGCUUCAGACACUGGGGCUAGAAUUUAACUCUCUCACGGAAGCUAUUCCUACUAAUUUGGGGAAUCUUCAUGAGCUGCGAUCACUCUUACUACAUCAUAAUCAACUUACCAAUGUAUCAAGAGAGCGUGAGUUGCUAUUCUUCAAUUCUUUGGCGGACUGUAGGAUGUUGAAAGAUCUAGAAGUGGGUAACAAUCCGUUAAAUGGCGUUCUGCCCAAUUCAAUUGGGAAUCUCUCAUCUACUAUUGAAAAUUUUUAUAUAGGAGAUGCACACAUCAAUGGCCUCAUCCCCAAAAUUAUAGGCAACAUGACCGGUCUUACAGCCCUAAGCCUUAGAGGAAACAACUUGGCGGGAAGUAUUCCUUCUGAGAUUGGUAAGCUUAAACAACUCCAAGGGCUGUCUCUACCUAACAAUAAAUUGCAGGGACAUAUUCCAGAGGUGGUAUGCCAUUUAUCGAAUUUGUUUCUAUUAUAUCUGUAUGGUAAUGAGCUCUCUGGAUUAAUUCCAGAAUGCUUUGGAAAUCUUAGCAUGCUACAACAUCUUUAUUUGGAUUCUAAUAAAUUUUCAUCAAAAUUUCCGUUGAGCCUUUGGAAGAUGAGUGGUCUUCUCUAUCUAGACGUGUCACAUAAUUCAAUAGAAGGAGAAGUUCCCCAGGAUAUUGGAGGACUGAAAGCCAUUGUAGAACUAGAUCUUUCCAGUAACCACUUUUCAGGAAUGAUAUCAACCAGAUUCGGGGAACUCCAAAAUCUGCAGUAUCUUGACCUAUCGAACAAUUCAUUUUUUGGCCNNNNNNNNNNNNNNNNNNNNNNNNNNNNNNNNNNNNNNNNNNNNNNNNNNNNNNNNNNNNNNNNNNNNNNNNNNNNNNNNNNNNNNNNNNNNNNNNNNNNNNNNNNNNNNNNNNNNNNCAUCCUUUCUGAUAUUCUUGUUGGUUUCAAUUUGGAUAAUGAAACGACAAAAGAAAGGGAGGUCCAAAGAUGUGGAGAAGGUACUGGAGAUCGGGACUCAUCAAUUAGUUUCUUAUCACGAGAUUCAGCGAGCAACAAAUAAUUUUGAUGAUGAAUCAAAUUUAUUUGGUGAGGGAAGCUCUGGCUCUGUGUACAAAGGCACAUUAUCUAGUGGAACUGCAGUGGCAAUUAAGGUUCUAGAUUUGGAAAAUGAGCAAGUAUGCAAGAGGUUUGAUACCGAAUGUGAAGUGAUGAGAAAUGUUAGACACAGAAAUCUUGUUCCAGUGAUUACUACAUGUUCUAGUGACUAUAUAAGAGCCUUUGUUCUGCAAUUUAUGCCCAAUGGAAGUCUUGAGAAUUGGUUGUACAAAGAAGAUCUCCACUUGAACCUUCAUCAAAGAGUCACUGUAAUGCUUGAUGCAGCUAUGGCAGUUGAAUAUCUACAUCAUGGUCAUGUCAUCCCAAUAGUUCAUUGUGACCUAAAGCCAGCCAACAUUCUUUUGGAUGAAGAUAUGGUGGCUCAUGUUGGUGAUUUU
rnacentral:lncRNA from 1 species